rnacentral:lncRNA from 1 species
GCAUGAAAAGGUAGAACUCGUGUAUCAGCUCCUUUUCUGUCAAUGCGCUUCAAUGCAUUUUCAACUUUUCAACAUGUCUCAAUCUGUAUAUGGAGAAGAGGACAAAGUAAUGAUGAGUCCUCCAUUCGGGUGGCUUCAGAACCUUCUCUCAAACUCCAGGUCAGGAGUCGGUGAGAUGGUCGGGAGAGUGAAGGAAAUGUAAUGAUGAGUCAAUUCCAAGCAGCCUUUACUGAAAGCUCAACAUACCCUGUUACAGAAAAUUGUUUUGGUUACUGGGCUUUCUUCUGCAAGCUGAAUAAAAGCAGACUUCUUAUUCAGGAAUGCAGUAUCUGGAGUCUUUUCACUGUCUUCCUCUCCACUACAAUCUAUGAGAAACUGGGCAUGAUAUGUAACUCCUAAAUUCUCCCCUGUUAGAAUGGUAUUCCGUUAGUUUCUUCUUAACAGGAAAAUAAGAGGAAAAGCAUUGGUUAGCUACCACAGCAAAUUUAUGCAACAUGUUCAUCAAGGGGAAGGACAAAGCAAAUUGAUGUAACAGAAGAUUACUGUUCAACCUGCAUGAGAAAGCUCCUAGCCUAUCUAGGAUUACUGUUGUGAAAAUAAUCCUUCCCCAGUAUAUGCAACCUAAAUUAGAUUGUACGAUACCUCUAUACAAAGUUAAAUUCUGAGAAUCAAUGAACUGGCAAAAUGAAUAGAAACAAUACUAAGGACAACUGCAAAAACUCUUCUGCAAAUUGAGGAAAGAAGAGAAACAGAUAUCCUCAAUCAUCUCAGCACAAUCGAUAAUAGGACCCUAACAUAAUCCUCAAUCAUCUCAGCACAAUCAAAGAAAGAGACUUCUCCUGAUUUUAUUUCUCUUCACCUCCAAGCAGAUUAAAUGACUUACAGAAUGCUGGUGGCACCUUUAGAUGGUAUAGACUGCUUUUGGCCAAAAGAAUACUAUAGACUACUAAUACGCAUGUGCUAAGAGACAUUCAAGGAAAAAAAUUUAUUCCACUCUUCAUCCACUUUCCAUCUUCCCCCAUCAAUAUGCGGAAACAAUCCACCCCCAAAACCAAAGCAUCAACGUAAAACCAUGCUCCAUCACUUUUAGGGAGCAUAACCAACAGCUUAGUAUGAGUAAUAAAUUGUCCAAAAGCAUCCAAAAAAAUGUACAGACACGGAUGUGAAUCCUUUUGUGCCUAAAUUACAUAAUAGUAAUGUAUCCAUUGGCAAAUAAUGGAAAGGGGAAUAAUACAGCUUUAGACCAACCUUUUUGAGGUGAGGGCUUGUCCGAUGAAUGCCAGGUCUCAUGAUCACUUCACAGUUGGGAGGAAUUUCAACUAUUUUGUUAUAUAUAUCUACUGGCAAUGUGGCUGUCCCAAACAGAUACUGGGUGGCUACAGGUGAAGAAUUGAUUAUGCUUUGAAACGCUGCUUCAAACUCCUCAUCAUUGCAGAGUAUAUAUCCACCUCAUCCAAAAUCACGCUGCAUUGAAAAGCCAUAAAUUAUAGCAGUAGUUGCAAAACAAUCUGCAACGUGUAUAAAGAUACCAUUCUUAUAGAGCUCUUUGUUUGUAGCUUAGCAUGGACUCAAAUCUGCUAAAUGCCAAAAUCAUCCAGACUUUGAUGUCAUUCAAAUUCUUAGCAGGCAAAUCCAUUAUCAAAAGAUUUUUUAACUUCAUAUCCUAUAUCAAACAAUAGGACGAGUGGAGCUUUCUAAAUCUGUCAAUCGUCACCAGUCAUUUCUUGAGGAAAUCUAUCAGGGCUAACAAAUAGCAAUAUAUAUAGCAAUUUUGUAAAUCAAAGCAAAGGUCUCCAUAACUCAAGCCAGAAAAUCAAGAUUCAGCUAUGUAUAUGUAAGAAUAGAAAUUUUAUCAAUCUUUUCCUUUCCUCGAAGAAUGGUGAUGAAUCAUGGUGGCAGUACUAAAUCUAGAAUACAGUAGCACAAUCACAUUCGUUACUCAAAAACAGAUGAGAAGACAAUAAUUUUGAAUAGCUCACGCACCCAAACUUAUUUGUGCAACAUUAUACAGUGCAUAGGCUUACCAUCCAAGAUCUUUCGACUCCAAAAAGCCCUCUUUAAUGAGAAAAAUAAAGCGACUGGGUGUGGCUAUUAGGCAUCAAGACCUUCUAUAUUUUCCGGCUGAGUUUUUUUCCUGAAACCGCCCAUGGCAACCAUAGACCAGAAUGGAGCCCCAAACUUCGAUAUGGAUUGGCAGUUACUCAAAACCUGCAUAAAAUUUACUAUAGAUAUUAAGUAUCCUUAUGUGGGUCCAAAAAUUUAUGUUAGGUUUGUCAUCCACUACUAGCAAAAACAAGCAUUGCUAUACAUAAAACCAACUACAGAGUAUCUCCAAAUUCAGAACGCAUCCAUUUUCAACAGCUCUAAGGAGAUUACCAGUUUUGCCACAUGAGUGGAUUAUGCGCAUCUUUAAGCAACUGUGUGCCACUCAAAUUGUACAUUUGUCUUUCCAGAAACCCAGUACAAUCUAGAAAUCUCUUCUUUUUUAUUAUUUGAAAGAAGAGAUGACAUUUUGAGUAAAAUAGAUGACAAGUUGUCAAAAACACACUGACUGCCACCAAAAAUGAAUUGGAGUGCUUUUUUCAUCACAAAUUGGCUGCUUAAGCAAUAGCCUAUCAUAGUAUAAGAUGAGAGCUUAAAAUGGCCAUAAACUAGUAAAAGUCGGUGACUUGCUUGCCAAAGCACAUAAGGGCAAAAGAAAAGGCACAAGAAAGGAUACUAACUGCCAACCUGUGAAGCUAACUCAACAGCUAGCACCAAAAUGACAACUCGAGGGCUUCGUGAGAAUGAUUUGCUAAGUCCUUGCAGCUCUUCUUGCCUGAGACGUUGGACUACUGGUGCAAGAUAAGCAAGCGUUUUUCCUGAACCACUCUGAUCAGCUAUAUUACAAGUGUUUCCCUCAAUUACAGGUUUGAAUGCAAUCGCCGGCAGUCAUCAAUAGUUAGCAUCAAUCUGAGUUGCAGUACAUAAGGAGAAGUUCUUCCUUUUGUCAAAGAAUAGAUAGAACAUCUCAAUGCAAUUACUUAUCAAUACUUAUGCCAUUGAAAAGACAAAAACUGACGCUAUAGGUUGGCCCCUCAAUGACUUCCACAUCCAUCAGCUCCAAUUUCACAUUUACAGAUAAAAUAUGAAUGAUGACGAAUGCAAGCUUACAUCUAGAACUAUACAAAAACAAGGUCAUCAUUGAUUUGAAGCUCAAUGUGGAUAUUAUGAAGAUAGUAGAUAUAACGAUGAUUAGAAUGUGCUCACGUUUAUUACAUUGCCAGCUAAAACAGCAGUAAGGAAGCAAUGACCAAGUUCCUUCCAUUUUCCCAGCAGAAAAAGCAACAAGCUGAAACCUUUGACUUUGAGUAGGUCAUACUAUUGAUGUACCUGAAUAUGUGAGGGGCACAGAAAAUGCUGCUUCCUCAAAGAUUCAAUCAUAUAGUCACUACAACCCAAAUCUUCAAAGGACUUUCGACCAUGGAAGUCACUAUUGGAGGAAACUUUCCCUAUGCAAACUUAGAUCUUUCGAGUCAGAUCUAAAGUCAUCCAUGGACACACCCCCUGCCCCAUCCUCUGAAAUCUGCAUAAAAACUACGGACUGAAUGCUCUGUUCCAACUAUUCUGGUGGUAGAUAUGCCAUGUUUAUUGGGUUCCUUUCAGUGCACUGAACAAUCCAUAUCUUUUAUGUCCAUCCUUGCUGCAGCGUCUUUGGCAGCUUUGGAUUGGUGAGCACCUGAAUCCUUUCCUCCACGUCAAAGGAUAGCUGCUUCCUUCUGUUUCCCCAGUAGGUCCAAUUUAGAAAAAGAGAGAUCAGGCAUAUCAAGAGGUACACUUUCUACUACCGGUUCAUAAUCUUUGCGACUCGCUUGUUUUAGCUUGGAAGAUUUUUCAGCAAGAGAUUUGACUCUCAGCAAUUUCAGUCGUCCAAAACCUCUGCCUAGACCACUCACACUUGCUGUAGGAGAAUAUCAUCUUUCGGCAGGGUUGACCCAUGAUGAUUGCCUGUAUAAAAGAAAAAGAAGUGACUGUCAGACUACAUUUUAUCGCUGGAAAAACCAAAUUCAUCUCCAAGCUCUGACUUUACACAUUGCACAGAAGGAUUCAGUACGCUACAAGAAAGUCUUAGCACAGAUUGAAAUGGGAGAGAAAUUUCUAACUCUGUUUGCAUACAUUCGUUUUCAAGCCAACCUAAGAAAACCAAAAAUCAUUUACCCAAGACUGUAUGAUUCAGAUAAGCUCCGAAAGAAAAUCUAAUGUUGGAUUUGUUAUCCUCCAUCUGAAUACAAUGCAUAUAACAAAUCACUGGCAUCGUUACAAGAGCUUAGAUACCAAUUAUCAACAAUGCAAGCACAAAAAAGAAAGAAAAGCUCCAACAAAUAAGAAAGGAAUUCGUAAUCAGAACCGACUGCAUCAGUCAUUCCGACUUGCACAUUCACAUCAAACACGUCUACACUCAAAUGCAAACUACGCAAGUUAACAGCUCAAUUACAGAGAUAAAUCCAAUCCUACCAUCUCGUCGUCAAUCGGCUGGUAGGCCCCCGCCCGAGUCUCCGAGGGCCAAGGCUCAGACAUAAGAAAUACCAAAUCUCUUCCAUGUAGAAUAUUCGAAUCCGAAUCCCUUUUCUCAAGUAAUUGACUUGGAGGAGUCAUUACCCAAUGUGACUUUCGGGAUUUCGUAGAUGAGGGGCCAAUAGCAGCCGGUCCCUUUCCUGCAUCGCUUCUCCAGAAUCCCACAUCCUGAGAUCCAGAGUAGUUCUAGGGAGGGAGGGAGGCGAUCCUGGGGUAACUCCCUCAGCUUCGGGCAAUUCUGGAUGUACAAGGACCGGAGAGAGGGAGGGAGACUGGUGAACAGUCUUUCCACGUUCUUCAUGCCACAGAUAUAGAGAGAGGUCAGAGAGGAAGGGAGCGGAAGCACAAGUUCCUCCUCCUCUCCCACUCCUCCCACGCUGCCAUCCAUGAUCAGAUCUUGAAGGGAGGUGAGGGGGGUAAGCCACUCCCUCAUCGGCUGCUUCAUAUUCUCGCAUCUAGACACCUGAAGGAACUCUAGCUGGGGCGGCAAUCCUCCAUCGGGGAAGCGCGUAAUACUCUCACACCCAUUAAUUACCAGAUGUCGGAGACUUGUGAGUAGAUGCAACUUAUUAGGUAACGAUUUUAUCUUUGGACAAUCCCCAAGCCAAAAAGCCGAGAUGCUGGGAGGAAGAGGAGGGAAGCACUCCAGCUCUAGUGCAGGACACUCCCACAAAAACAAGAAAGUGAGAUGGGACAAUGUGUGCAGCCCCUGUGGUAAGCUUCUCAAAUUCGUACAAGAUAUAAUUUUAAUCUCUUUAAGCGACUGAAGACGGUCCACAAGUAUCUCCGCAAGUGACUCCACUCCCCCACACGACUCAAUUUCAAGUGUCUUGAGGGUUGCUGGUAAAAAUCUAUUCUCGCUGAAUAAAGAGGCCGAUAGAGAAUCGCAUCAGUACAUUUUUAAAUUUUGCAAACGAAACGUCAUAUCACUGUGGUUAUUGCUACUUGGUUCAUCCAUAUGAACACUUGAUCCUCCGGGUAAAGAUAGCAACAUCUUGCAAUAUCGGAUAUUUAAUGAUAUCACUGACGCCAAUAUACCUGUUUUGGGGAAGGACGGGAGUUUUGGACACUCCUCGAUGGUCAAGUCUUGAAGCGAGGAGAGGGUAUAAAUCAUGCUUGGGUGCUUCUCCAAAUUGAUGCAAUUUCGUGAGUCCAUAAUUUCCAGCUUGCUACGCAACUCUAUAUCUCCUUCUCCAACUGAAAAUGAUAUAAAUUCAGGACAACUUUUGACAACUAAGCUCUUCAGACAAGCCAAAUUCCGAAUUAUAUCUCUCUCUUGCCAUAAAUACAUCAAAUUUUUACAACUUAUCAUCUCCAACUUCUCCAACUUGACCAAGGAGUUUGUAAACCCAUAAUUUAAGCAAGUUAAUUCAAGUACAUCUUGCAUGACAAGAGAAGUUAGAGAUGUCAAGUUUACCAAACUCUUCAGCACGCCCUCAUUACAAUCUCUAAAGUUUAAUUCAUUGAGGGAUGGAAGGCUAAUGAUAGAGGACAAGGCAUCUAUAAGCGGACAAGAGUUGAUUUCCAGCUUUUUGAGAGAGCUCAACUGACUAGGCAAUCUUCCGAUCAAUAUAGGACAAUCCCGAAUGACCAGAUGCUCAAGACAAGGGAAUAAAACUCUUACUUCUUCAUCGUCGAAGCAAUAAGACCAGUCCUCCCACGAUGGCAUGUCCUUGAAUUCUAAAGUCAUUAAGGAUGGAAAAGGACUUUUAGUUCCAUAAAAUUCAGACCCUACUGUGUGUAUUGCAUUUAGACCUUCGAUGUACAAUUCUUUUAGAGAAGAUAGCUGUCCCAAUGAGGCUAGCGCAUUGGCCCGACAACACCCAUGUAAACGUAAAUGCACAAUCUUAACAUAUGAGGGACUUCCUAACCAUGAUGGAAAUUCUAAGCUACCAUAGUAGGAUAUUGUGAGAUUUUCAAGUUUUGGGUGAGGGCGAAGAAAGUCAAGGACUUUUGCUUCAAGCUCUUCAUUCCGGAAAUUUCCAAAAUCUUCGCACCAUUGCAUGGUCAACCGGCAUAUUCCCUCCUUCAUGCAUAAAUCGGCAUCUGUGGCAUCCCCGGCUUCUGGAAUCUUAUGCAAAUUAGAGAUGCAUAAUUCCCCUCCAAGAUUCUUUAGGUUUUUCAACUCCUUCAAUCUUGACCCUAUUUCCAUUCCCACUACAAAUUUGGACAGUAUCUCAAGACCCACCAAAUUACCUAUAUAUAGCGGCAUCGCUUUUAGGCUCGAAGUAUCGGUCAAGUCAAGAAAUUUUAGAUUCAUCAAUUUCUCCAUACCUUCCGGUAAUUCUAUAGGGUUUCGACAUCCUCGCAACAUCAAACUCUCUAGGUAGUACAAUGCAACAAUUGACUUUGGAAGCUUUUCGAUGUUAGAAUUCGACAAAUUGAGGUACCUUAGGUGUUUCAGUUUGCCAAUGCAAUCUGGUACCUCUCUAAUGUGAUAGUGACAUAAUGAAAGCACCCUCAAAAACUUCAAUUCGGAUAACAAGUCACAUAACACUUUCUUGGACAAAUGUGACUUAUCAUAAUACUUAGGUUGCUUCACUAAUGAUAUAAAGCUCCUAAGUCCCUUCAUUCCGUGAUAUAUCUUGAAUCUUUCUUGGACAAUGUGUGGGCUAGAAAUGAAUGAGGCAUGACGAGCCAAAAAUGCAUUAUUUUGAUCACCCUCGAAGUCAAAUGCCCCCGAGCUAAAAUAGGCUACACCAGCAACUAGCUUUGCAAGGUCACUCACAAGAUCAUGCAUCAAGAAUCGUGAUUCACUACUACUCAACUCUUGAAGUAAUGUUCUAGAUACUAACUCGUUAAAAAGUGUCAAACCUACAUUCCAAUGGCUUUCUCCUUCUUUUCUCUCCAACAAGCCCUCUGCAAUCCACCAGUGAAUCAACUCAUCUCGUUCAAUUUCAUAGUCGUUGGGAAAUAUAGCGCAGUAAGCAAAACAUCUCCUCAUAUUUGAAGGGAGAUGGAGGUAGCUAAGUUUCAAAGCCGGAAGGAUGUCAUUACUUUCUUGUGGGAGGUCCCAAAUUUUGCUAUUCAAUAUACCUUGCCACUCACGAGGACUAACUUUAAAGCUUAGUAGCCCAGCCAAAGUCUUCACAGCUAAUGGCAACCCUUGGCAUUUAUCCACUAUUUUCAUGCCUAAUACUUCAAGAUCAGGAUGAUGAUCGAAAUUUCUUGCUCCAAGAGCAUGAAAUGUGAACAAAGUCAUACAAGCAUCUUGUGACAACGGUUUGAGAGUAUAGGGUUGAGCACGGGCUAUUUCAGCAAUGCGGAAAUUACGAGUCGUGACAAUGAUCUUGCUUCCCUUUGCUCCCCAUUGAAAAGGCUUCAAGAGGAUAGUCCAGUUUCCAUAAUUCUCGUUCCAAACAUCAUCUAAAACAACAAGAAACUUCUUCCUUGCAAGGUGUUCCUUGAGCUUAUCUUGAAGCCAAUCCAGGUCCUUACCUUCACAAGACAAAUGGCCAGUGGUUGUCUCAAGGAUCUUCUUUGUAAUAGCAAGCACGUCGAAAUCAUCAGAAACGCAAGCCCAUGCUUUCACAUCGAAAUAGUCGGUGACUCUAUCAUCAUUGUAGACGUGCUGAGCCAGAGCCGUCUUCCCAAGACCCCCCAUCCCUACGAUGGGAAUCACUUUUGGAUCCACACAUGCCCUAUCAUUUUCUUCUUUGGUCAGUAAUUCAAGGAUCUCCUUUUUUUCGACCUCCCUGCUAACAAAACAAGGCUCAGGCAAAUUUGUAGUGUGAAGUGGCUUAUCCACUUGACGGUAUGCUGAUCGCUUCUCGUUAUUCUCUCUCAGGUGCAGAAUAUCUUUAUGAGUAAUGAUAUCCUUUAACCUGCUAUCCAUCUCUUCCAUCUUGGAUCUCAUUGUAUGGUCAAACAUAAAUGCUCUCGGGCUCAAUCUCAAGCAACAACUUUGAAGAAGGGAACGCACCUUGCUAGUGCCGGGUUUUGCCUCGGCGUUAUUUUCCACGGACUCUAUGGCAAACUUGUCUAGCAAGUCUUCAAUGUCGUAGGCCAAGUCCCUAAGAUUUUUGAGCCAUGAGUUCACCCCGAGAUCACCAUUCAGUUGCCUAUCCUCCGCAUCAUCCAACACUUGGUUGAUGGUGACCAGCAUCUCCUCCCAUUUUUUCAGCAGUAUAUCGAUACCCUUGCGCCGUGCAAAGUUGAGAAGCUCACGAGAGGCCAGCCUAUCAAACAGCACUUGAAGAAAGGCGCCAAGAAAGACCUCUGCGAUCGGCAUGGCUUGGUUCGCGAGCGACAGAGGAUUAAACGAGAGUGCCCGGAAGGGUCGAAACAAAGUGCAGAGGGCCGAGAGGAAACAAAAGUUCUUCCGUCCAGGACAAUAGGAUGAAAUGAUGGUGUGAAUCAAAGACUUUUUAAGCACUAAAGCGCUCUUUCUUUCUCGGAAGAAGCUGCCGUUGCAUUUCAUCUCGUCCUCAGUUGAUUUCAUUUCAUUUCUGUAGACUCAAUUUCUCGGAAGCAAAUUGGUCGGACGUGGGACCAAGUCUUGGCAUCAUCAGAGCCUCCAAAAGCUCAGAAGGUAAAAGAAGUGGAGCCCAUCUCCUGCCCAACCCCGGAACUUUUCUGCUCUAUUAUUGAUCGUCAGUUCUAUCUUCCCACUCACAUCACAUGAUUCCCAAUUGCACCCAUCCACCAUCUUCAUGCAUCACAUAGAUCAUGGCAUAACAGUUUCGUUGAUGCAGCCUUAUGAACCCCAUCACUUUAUAAAAAAGGAGAAGUUAUGACAUAAUUUUACUUUAUGUAGACCGGAUACUAUCGUAACCAUUGAGCAUACGGAUCUCAAUAUUAUUUCACGCCAUACGAGAGUUCAAUGCUUUGAAAACUCCAAAAUUAUGUGGUUGAUUGCUCAACAAGUAUCGAGAAAUACUUGUAAAAAAAUCGUACUUUAAUAAGGAUCAGAAAGGAAAAAAAAAGUGUUACUUUUAUUCAUUACUAUAACUGUUACCUAGAUUUGCUAUCUGAAAGAUACAGGAGGAAAAUCAAGCGGCCCUACAUCGAAUUUAAUUGUGGAACCGCCAAGCAACAAUGAUUAGAUUCAUAAAGAAACUUUCUUGUUUUAUUCGGUUCGCGGGAUCAGACAAAAUAUGCUUGUUGUUUUGUCCCAUGAAGAGUAGGGGUGAGCAGCAGUCUAGGGUCGACCUUGGACCUACCCUGGACCGGCCCAACCCUGCCGGUCCUGGUCCGGUUCUCAAGGGGACUGGGUCGGUCCUUGGUCCUAAAAUUCCAGGACCAACACUGUGCGGGUUGGUCCUCGGUCCUAAGAGUUUUGGGUCGGUCCAACCCUGGAUCAACCCUGUAUAUUAUAUUAUAUUAUAUUAAUAAUUCUUUUAUAUAUUCAAACCUAAGUAAAAUGUUUGUUAUAUUAUAUUAUAUUGAAAUGUUCUAUCAAUAGCACUAAUAGUAAUUUCAAUUUAAAACUUUUGUUGAGUAUUAAUCAUGUGUCGUUUGUUUUGCUUUCAGGUGUUUAGAAGUUCAAGUGAAUUAACAAGAUGUGAAGUUAUAUAUUCAUGGUUUAUAUUAAGUAUUUUGAACUUUUUAUGGUUUAAUUGUAUUUUACUAAUGAAUUUCAGAUGCACUUUGCUUUUCAAUUUAUGUCAGAUGGUAGAAGUUUUGAAGAGUAGAGUAGUAUUGUAGUUGCUACAGUGAUUUGCUAGUCAAGUGGUACGAAGCUCAUUUUUUGGUUGAGUGGACUCUACAUGAUCAAAUGCAGGAAAUUAUGAAUAUUAAAGAUAGAUGAUUACAGACUUUUCAUCUUGUCCCAUAUCUCGAUGAUCGUUUAGCAGGUACAAAAUUUAUAUAUUAUGUCAUCUUAAUUUGCUAAAUAUGUAUUGGUAUUUAUAAUUUAGUUGCACAAUGCCGCAUUGUCAAUGGAUGUGUAAUUUGAAUUUGUAGGUUUGUUUUUUAGGGAGUAUAAAAAAUAAGACGAAAAAAAUUAUCGAUCGGUCUCGGGUUGACCCUGAAACUAGACCGAACCCAUUGGGUCGGUCCGGUCCUUGGUCCUAGGCUCAAUAGGGUCGGUCAUCGGUCCUAAAAAUUGAGGACCGACACUGUAUGGGUUGGUCCUAGGGUUAGGGGGUGGCCCGGACCAACCCGGAUCAUGCUCACCCCUAAUGAAGAGAGGAACUGCUUAACUUCAAUAUGCCUCCAAGUAGACUUUGAUAUUGGGCUAUUCAUAGCCUAUUAUUAUAGUAUAUGAAAAUGGAUUCACUAGUGCUUAAGAAAUUGGCAGGUCCCUAGAUUACAACUUUUGAUUCCUUGGCUUCCGCGCGUCCUGUCAUAAUCACCCUUCUUUCUGGGAAAGGGGAACAGAGAGAGAAUGACUUUUGAUUCCUUUAUCCUCUCCUUCGCACAGUAAUUCUUGUCGUUUUCAUUGCUCUUUUGCACAAAUAAUCUAUUUAUGAGCCUCUCUCUCUCUCUCUCUCUCUCUCGCCAUGUAUGUUACUUUUCAAUUUUCUUUGCUAUUUUAUCUAUAAAUUAUAUAUUAUUAUCGUUCUUUCGAUGCUUUUGCACAUGGGGCCUGCAUCUAGGAAUGGUGAAGAGAGUAGGGAGAGAAUGGCGUUUGAUUCCUUCUUCCUCUCCUUCGCACAAUCCGUCUUGUUGUCGUCUCACUUCCUUGAACCAGCGAAAUACAAGGACGUCAAGAAAUAAUUGUUUAUGAAGAAAUUACAAGGCUCCUGCCGACAUGCAGUCCUAUUCUAAAUAAUGUGCACGCUCUUUAGGGUGAAGUGCACCCUCCUAAAAUUACCUCUACAAUUACGACAUUCAUUUGUUGAAUAAGCCCCUAUUUUUUAAUGCAUAACUACCAUUUUAUCUAGCGAUCUCAUUUUUCACAAGUAUCUAUCCUAGUCUAACGUUAAUAAGUUUAUAACCUAUACUUUUACAAUAUGGUCAUUCUCUUCUUAUUUUUAGAAUGAUGUCACUAAACUUUUCGGAAUCGGAAUUAAUAGGUUGGGCAAGUAACAUUAUGGCAUUAAUUGAUGGAAAAUAUUGGAAUUUGAUACCUAAACAAGUGAAAGUAUUGACUGUACAUGUUAUGAUGGCAAUCAUUGUAUUAGACCCUAAGGCACUUUUUAACAAACUCCUUAUUUGGCAAAUUGAAUCACUCGAAGGAAUGCUUUAAAGUGUAUUGUGAUCCCAGUUAACCAAAUAACUAGGCCUAACUGGAAUUUAUUGCGUUGGUGUAAGCAUAAUUUAUGACAUUGGUGACAAGUGGUAUGCCCCUUUUUUAUUCUUAUUUUGCACAUUGCAAUUCAUUGUGUAUAUCACUUUCUAAAUAAUUAUGAAAAAUAUAAUCUUUACAGCCGAUCGGUGUUAAGAAGUUGAAAUCAAGAAGGCAUUAAUUAUUUUUAAAGAGAUUUCAAAUACAGAAACCACUUGUUUAUUGGCAUGGCUUAUAGAAGUUUAUCUUUCCACUUGCAUUCACGAUCCUAAUAUUUUAUGGUAUUCUUUUUUGUGCAUGCUUGAGUGCUAUGUUUUUUUCAUUUUUGCAGCAUCAUGAGAUGGUGGAAACGAAGGAAGUAGCAAGGCCGAGACUAGCAGCAUAGUCUUAUGUUAGUCCUUUUUUUUGGGGGUGAUUUCGAACAUAUGUAAGCUCACUCAAACACAAAGUUGAAAAUAAGAGUAAAUCUCUCUUGAAAGGAUCCACAUUAAAAGCAAACUUAGCUAAACCAUGAACGGAUAUAUUACAUUUCCUUCCAUUGUUUACACCUAUAUAAGAGGACACCGAUACCCUACCUUAUUGGGGAGAAGCUCUAAGCACCACUAAACAUGCUUUUGCGUCAGCCUAAUCAUCCUUCCUCCUCCUCUUAUUCUUCAGCAUGUGUUUUUUUUUCAUCUCUCUCUCUCUCUCCCUCUCUCUUUUCGUUUGUUGGCCUUCUCUUGUAGUUUUCUCGCUCUUUCUUUCUCGGAAGACGCUGCCGUUGCAUUUCAUCUCAUCUCGUUUGAUUUUUAAUUUCAUUUCUGUUGCCUCAAUUUCUCGGAAGCAAGUUGGUCGGAGAUGGGGACCAAGUCUCGGCCACAUUAAAGCCGCCAAAGAAGGCUUGGAAUGUUCAGUACUGGACCCGAAACUACUGCUUUAUUAUCACUCCUCAGAUCUCUCUCAGCACUCGCAUCACACAAAGUCCCAACCAUCCAUCAUCAUCAUGCAUUACAUAGAUCAUGUGGCAUCAUGAUUUCAUUGUCGAACAGUGCGGACCACCUGCUUGUUGUAAGUGUGAAGCCUUCUACUGUUAUUGCACAUGCCCACAAGGAGGGAGUUUCACAGGAGAUCUCGAGGGUAACGGAAAUGGGGGUAGGAAGCUCCUUGAAAGGAAAUGAAAAUUGAUAAGUCUCUUAUUACGUCAAAAUAAAUAUUUACCUGUUGUUGCGUCUCUCUCUCUCUCUCUCUCUCUCUCUCCCCGCGUGCGUCCGUGAAAGAGAGUUGAAAGAUGGCCUGUGUUGAUCGAAAAAGAAGCGAGUCAGGACCAGUGGCCAAACGCAGUCUAUAUAAAGCAUUUUCGUAAAUUAAAAUAGGUCCUCAAUUGAUUCUUUUUUCUUGCAAGAUUAUGGGAAACUGACCCCAUAGUUAUUUUUUCCUCUCUAGCUGAGAACUAUUCAAUUCAGAACAACAAUAUGGGGCUGCUGGGAGGAAAAUAAAUUUCGACUUAAAAAAGUAAGUUUUUUUAAAGAAAGAAAAUACAUCAGUAUAAAAAUUAACAUACAAUAUCUAUAUAUUCAAUAAUCCAAUUCGGUUGGUUAUUAUUAAAUAAUCAAUCUCUUAACAGUAUGAUGAUAUCACACAAUAUAAAUUAUGUACAUUGGGAUAAAUGAUUAUUGUUACAUAAGAAAGUAAAUUUCACCAUAGUAGACGAUAUGGAUCAUGAAAAAGUGCUAAAUGCAGGAUGAAAUUUUUUAUGGCAAUUUUUUCAUUGCGAAGUGCACAUUAAAACUUUUUAACAGUAUUUCCUUUUAAUCAGGACAAAAUCACUAAAAUUUAAUGGCUAAUUUUGUGUGAAGGACUUAUUAAAGUUAGCUGUCAGGCAGAUAAAUUCUUAUAUAUAUAUUUUAGUCAGUACAUAAAUUCUUAUAUUUAGUGAGUGGUUUACCACACACAUCUUGAGAGAGGAAUGGGCUUAUCAUAGUACAUUAAAGAUUUGUCAUGCAAUCAUUUCUGUUCACAUAGGCCUGAUGGGAAUUACAAACUUCCCAUGUUCUUUCGACAACUCUGAUGGUUACGCGCAUAACAUACCCUUUUAGCCUCCUUCAACAAAUCCACUUGAAUGGAUAGACAACUCAAGUUUGCAUAGUUUUUCAGAAUGAUAAUUAUGUUGCAAAAUGGCAUAUGGGCUAUAAGAUUGACUACUGAGGUCAUGGAGGUUAUUGUUGGGAAUAUUAUUUUCCUAAUAAGGAAAAUGCGUUGGGAUCAAUUCAAUAAGCAAAGUUACCUAUACACAUAUUUGAAUGCAUCUGCCCCGUUGCCGUGGAUGCAAAUAGGUUAAAUUGCUCUAGCUACCUUCAAUCGAACUCAAAAAGCACAAAAUCACUAAAUUGUUUGGUCAUAACGAUUGGUGUAAGAUUUGCACCACAAAACAUGUUUCCCAUACUGAAAUGAAAAGGGAUAAUGGAAUAAACAGCAAUGUUUCAUUUCAGCUAUGUAGACCGGAUCAUCAUUAAACAUCGAUCAUAUGCGUGCCAGCCACCAUUCCAUUGUAACACGAAAGCCCGACGCAUUGAAAGCCACAAAAUUUUCGUAGUUGAUUGCUCAGCGAGUGUCCAAAAACGCUUGAUGGCAAAACCAUUUUUAAAUGAUGACCAGAAAGGGAAAAAAAUGAUUACUUUCUCUUUAAUUAUGUCAUCGUCACCUAGACAUGCUCUUUGAAGAAUACACAAUCUGAUAGAUUAGAUGGAAAAAAAACCAAGUGGCUAUAGAUCAAAUUAAAUUGGAAGCCUUCAAGCUUCCAUUUGUUUCUUUUUCCCUAUUUGCCAAGCAACAAUGAUUAUAUUCAUAGCAAAGCUUCCUUGUUUUAUUUGGUCCAUGGGUCAAAAAUAAUAUGCUUAUUGUUUUGUCCCAGGAAGAGAAGAGCUACCUAACUUCAAUAUGCCCACCAGCCAUUCAAAUAGAUGGAAUUUGAUAUAUACUUAUGCAUGCUCUAUUAUUAUAUUUGUGUAUAGAUGUUACAUUAGUGGUACAAAAAUAACUGAAUCCCUAAACCAUAGAUUUUGCUAAGGCAUCACAUAAAAAAAAUAAAAUAAUAAUAAUAAUAAUCGAUGCGGGGAGUGCACUCUCAAGAUGUCUUGGGAAGGUGGACUGAUUGAAGCCUGGGAAAGUUAAUUUAUACACCACUUGGCCGCUAAAUAUGAAAAGAAAAUAAUAUUGAUAAAUAGUUCAUGGGUCUCAAGGUCAAAUAAAAUUAGAAAUUUCAAAGCUGCAAUAUCAAAUAAGAUAUGCAUAUGUUAAAUUAGGAGAACGGUGAGAGUACCUAACCACGAUCCGUCCAUCAACUAAAUUUUCAUUAACGUGGACAAAUCAAUAAAAAAAAAUCAAUAAUUUUAAUCAAUUAUGCCCUAUUAAAACGGGUGUCAAAAGACAUUUGUUUCUAGAGAAAUUACAAGUCCUCGUUGAAAUGCAUUUCUAUUCUAGAGAAGGGGCAUUCUCUUUUGGAUAAAAUGCACCCUCUUCACCAAGAGUUGCGUACUUUUUAAGGUAAAGUACAUGCGUUUUGCUCUCAUUCAGGUCAAGCUCACAUUCGUUAAAGUUCAAGCGUAUGCUUCUUUGGUAUUUAAAACACGGCAUGUAAUGGCUUGUGUGCACAGGCCCUAGAAAAGCCAACAAAGGAACAAAGGAGAGCAAUUGCUUCAUGUCUGAAUUUACAUUGAAGUUUCCUACUGGUCUUCGUCAUUGCUUCGUGCCUGAAUUUACAUUGAAGUUUCCUACUAGUCUUCGUUGACUCGAUGCUUAGAAAAGAUCCAGGGAAAAACUGCCUUCUACCUUUCUAGAAGCUCUAAUGGUUAAAUAAUUGACACAUAAAGGAGAAAUUGUAUGUAUGUAUUAUUCUAAUUUUUCAUUAGGCUAGGUGCAAAAUACUUGAUUAUCAAUUAGAUAUUUCAACCAUGUCUAAAUCCACUUCAUACCUGACUCAUCAAGGUAGUAGGGUACUCUAUGAAUUUAGAAUUUACCUAGGUAAGGGAGCUUUCUCGCGGUCAAGACAAAAAAAUUCAUAGCAAAUAAUUUUUUAUGGAAAAUUAUUAAAGAUAAGUGUAAUUAAGGAUAAACUUUUUGUGGCUUGUCUGUGGAAAAUUGUGAACUGUUGUUGUUUAACGCCCAAAUUCUUGUUAGGAGUAGGGGUGAGCAUGAUCCAGGUUGGUUCGGGCCACCCCCUAACCCUAGGACCUACCCGUACAGUGUUGGUCCUCAAUUUUUAGGACCGAGGACCAACCCUAUUAAGCCUGGGACCAAGGACUGGACCGAUCCAAUGGGUUCGGUAUGGUUCCAGAGUCAAUCCGGGACCGAUCGAUAANNNNNNNNNNNNNNNNNNNNNNNNNNNNNNNNNNNNNNNNNNNNNNNNNNNNNNNNNNNNNNNNNNNNNNNNNNNNNNNNNNNNNNNNNNNNNNNNNNNNCUCUCUCUCUCUCUCUCUCUCCAUAUAUAUUACUUUUCAAUUUCCUUUGCUAUUUUAUUUAUAGUUUGUACAUUACUAUUGUUGUCUUCUCGAGCUAGACCACAACAGCACCCUCUCCGCACCUCUCAUCCUCAAAAUCACUCCUCACCCCAAACGAAACCGCACGAACCCAACUAAUGCCUGCACCGCACCAAUCGGUUCCGAGCAGAGACUCCCCAAGCGUAUUUAUUCAAAAAUAGGCUACAUUAAUUUACAAACUUAAGAUGAAUGUUAUCAUCGUUUUGGUAAAUAAUUAUGAAUAUGGAAAAGGAAAAUUACCAUAAAUUCAAGUUGCAUGCUAUUUCUUAAAUGAAGUUACAAUUUACAAUAACUUAAAGUGAUUUAUUAUCAGUAAUUAUUAAUUGUCAAUCUUAAGCAAGGUAAGCUAUUGAUGGCUUUACGAAGUUGCAUUCUUUGAGGUAAUAAUGACGAGUGACGGCAUUCUUACUUUAAGAGCUCUAUAGCUAAGUUACUACUCCAAAAGGAAAAGCACUAGCUAUAGAUAAAUUGAGAGUAGGACUACUUGAGACAAAUUACUGUGUUUGGAGGUAUAAUCAUCAAAACUGUAUCGAGGAAAAAUUACAAUGUUGUUUGAUAAUUACUAGGCGCUAGCAUUAUAGAGAGUAUUAAGGAAAUUCACAAGGGGAAGUGAAGUUACUGACUAUAAUAAAUUACUGAUUACGACCAUUUGAGGAAGAUAACGGUAUUAUUGAAUAAUUACUAGUGUCAACAUUAAGAAGUUACGAAGACAAAGCAAUGUAAGAUUACUGAGGUCAAUAUCGAUUACAAGUUCCAUCUUUUGAGACAAUUUAGGAUAAGUUACUAUGCUGAGGUGAUCGAGAUUCUCACGGCACACAGUCUACGGCUAAACUAAUAUGUGAAAAAUAAAAAACAUUAACUCUAGGUGCAAUUCAAAUUAUGCCAAGACAGUUAAAUUUCAAUUACUACGUACAAGAACUAUAAAAUAUGACCUUUCUAGGGAAAUUAUAAUACCAUUGAAAAUCUCUUAAAACGAAGUCAUUUACCUUAGAGGAAGUACUUUAAUUUACCUUUGAAAUGAGUAAUUUAGCUUGCAAGUAAAGUUCAUAAAUCAGCUUAUUGUAUCGUAGAAGCAAAAUGAAGUAUGGAAAUUAUAUCUUGCGUUCGUAAAUUAAUUUCUUGUAUCAGAACGCUCAGUUACUUGCGACAGCAGGUCAUUUAAUAUAUUCAUGGCAUACAGCAGGGGAUACAAUCCUGUACUUUCCUAUCAUUGCAUAUUCAUUAUCAACAAAGUGCAACUUACAGACAAUACAGGCUCGGAGACUUCUUAAGUCGUCUCGAUCAGCAAGAGCAUCGAUGUUCCUCGACAAUGAACAGAACAAAGACCAAAGUAUAUAUGUUUCGAACCUUGAUAUAAAAAAAACUCUUCAUUGCAUUAACUCUUCUCGGAUCACCGUCAACAUGGAGAUGCACAAUGGAAGAACCAGAAUCUCACCAAACAGUGAUCCCCCUUUAUUUUCACUUCUUGCCACGCCAUUCCUCUGUCACAUGCAGGAAAAAAGAAUGGAGUGAUGGGAUCUAUUCCUGUCACUCCAAGCAUGAACUCGAUCCCGCUUGGUGCAUGAACGUCUCAACUCAGCAGCUCAUAAGCAGAGGGUAAAUCAUGCAAGGGAUGGCCUUUCCGGUUUCUCACCAUUAUUCUUCUUGCCAGGGAAUGCUUCCCAACUGCCAAGACUCCAGAACCUCUUGCUGUUCUUCCAACAUGGCGGACAUAUUCGCUCAGGUCGCACAGGAAGUUGAGGAGAAUAACAUGAUCCACUCUGGUAAAGCUGAUUCCUCGUGACGCCCUGCCAUAUGGUUCAAAAAUCAUCAGGAUCUUGCAAAUACUGAAGGAAAGAGGAGAGUGACUGUCUUAGGUAAAUUUGUAUGUGUCCAGUGACCCUGCCAAUAGUUAAAAGUGCCUGCCUUUUAUUUGACUGUGUCGCAAACAGUGCUGUUAAAAUCACUAGGCACUGUUAAGAGGCUCAGACCCCACGGUGCCUCAGGCGCUGGGCUGAACAAUGAGAGGUGCUAAGUAGAAAGUGGGGAUUAAUCCAUCACAAAACAAAUUAUUAGGUCUUUUCACACUUAGAAAUCACAAGUUAUUCGAGGUCUGCAUUGAAGCACAUAUUGCACUGGUGCAAGACGUUAACCUAGACAAAUCUUUUCUGAGGCAAUACCUCAGAGGAGCACCUCAUCUCAGGUGCUUACCUCAAACAAAGAAACCUUGCCUGAGAUGAGGUGAGGAGCAGAGGCUUCGCGUCGCUUUGCCUGAGCGCCUAGGUGAGUGCCUUGCUAGCACUCAGCUCUUGCCUAUCAAAGAAAUCGAACUGAGCCCAAUACCAGAAAACUUGUAAGUACAGGCCCAAUCAUUCACAAAACCCACAAGACAGAACAAGGCCUAUCCCCGCCAAUACUAUUUUCAUCUAGUUCUUGUUGAGACUGAAUAAUCAUUAAAUGUGCAAGCUUAAACUGAGAACUGAAGGCCUGGGUCUUGGCAGGCCAUGCAUGGUUUAACUAAAGGCUCACUAGGGAUCAAUCUCGGCCACAGAACAGAUCUAUCUCUAAAAGCAUAGUUUGAAUGGCAUCGGACAAAGCAACCAUACAUACCUGUCGGUGUAAACCAAAAACAAGGAGACAUCUUUAGAUGGAGAAGCAGAAAACUCUUUCAUAUUUGCCUGUAGUGACUUCUGAAACAGCAGCAUGAAAAGGUAGAACUUGGAUAAGAGUGCCUUCUCUGUAAAUUUGUUCAAUGCAUUUUCAACUUUCCAACAUGUGUCAAUCUGUAUAGAGAAGAGGAAGGAUGAAUUCAAAGUAAUGAUGAGUCCUCCAUCCAGCUGGUUUCAGAGCCUUCUCUCAAACUCCAGCUCAGGAGUUGAGGUGAAUGUAAUGAUGAGUCAAUUUCAAGCAGCCUAUACUGAAAAAUCAACAUACCUUGUUACAGAAAACAAUUGUUUUGGUUACUGGGCUUUCUUCCGCAAGCUGAAUAAGACCAGACUUCUUAUUCAGGUAUGCAGUAGUUGGAGUCUUUUCACCAUCUUCCUCUUUACAAUCUAUGAGAAACUGGACAUGACAUGUAACUGUCAAAUUCGCCUCUAUUACAGUGGUAUUCCAUUAGUUUUCUUCUUGACAGGAAAAUGGGAGGAAUGGAAACUAGUUAGCUCCCACGGCAAAUUUAUGUAACAUGUUCAUCAAGGGGAGAGGACAAAGCAAUUUCAUGUAACAGAAGAUUACUCUUCAACCCAAAUGAGAAAGCUCUCAGCCCAUCUAGGAUACUGUUGCGAAAAUAACCCUUCUCCAGUAUAUGCAGCCUAAAUUAGUUCGUACAAUACCUCUCUACAAAAUAUAUAUAUAUAUUAAGAUUCAACAAACUGGCAAAAUGAAAUUAAAACAAUUUUCCGGACAACUGCACAAACUCUUCUGCAAAUUGAGGAAAGAAGAGAAACAGAUCGGACCCUAAUAUAAUCCUCAAUCCUCUUGGCACAAUCAAUGAAAUUUCAGAGACUUCUCCUGAUUUUAUUUUUCUUCAACUCCAAGCAGAUUAAAUGACUUACAGAAUGCUGGAGGCACCUUUAGAUAGCAUAGACAGCUUUUUGGCCAAAAGAAUAGUAUAGACUACCAAUAAACAUGUGCUAAGAGUCAUUCAAGGAAAAAAAUUUCAUUCCACUCUUCAUCCACUUUCCAUCUUCCCUUGUCAAUAUGCAGUAACAAUCCACCCCCAAAUCCAAAGCAUCAACAUAAAAACUUGCUCCAUCACUUUUAGGGAGCACAAACUACAGCUUAGUUAUGAGUAAUAUAUUGUCCCAAAGCAUCCAGAAAAAUGUACAGACAUGGAAGUGAAUCCUUUUGUGCCUAGAUUAGAUAAUAGUAAUGUAUCCAUUGGCAAAUAAUGGAAAGGGGAAUAAUACAGCUUUAGACCAACCUCUUCAAGGUGAGGGCAUGUCCGAUGAAUGCCAGGUCCUAUGAUCACUUCACAGUUGAGAAGAAUUUCAACUAUUUCGUUAUAUAUAUCUACCUGUGCGGCGACAAGUAAAGAAUUGAUUAUGCUUUGAAACGCUGCUCCAAACUCCUCAUCAUAAAAGAUACUAUUCAUAGCAGCAGUUGCAAAACAAUCUGCAACAUGUAUAAAGAUACUAUUCUUAUAGAGCUCUUUGUUUGUAGCUUAGCAUGGACUCAAAUCUGCUAAAUGCCAAAAUCAUCCAGACUUUGAUGUCAUUCAAAUUCUUAGCAGGCAAAUCCAUUAGCAAAAGAUUUUUUAACUUCAUAUCUAUAUCAAACAAUAUGACGAGUGGAGCUUUCUCAAUUUGUCAAUUGUCACCAGUCAUUUCUUGAGGAAAUCUAUCAGGGCUAACAAAUGGCAAUAUAUAUAGCAAUUUUGUAAAUCAAAGCAAAGGUCUCCAUAACUCAAGCCAGAAAAUCAAGAUUCAGCUAUGUAUAUGUAAGAAUAGAAAUUUCGCUAAUAUUUUCCUUUCCUCGGAGAAUGGUGAUGAAUCAUGGUGGCAGUACUAAAUCUAGAAAACAGUAGCACAAUCACAUUCGUUACUCAAAAACAGAUGAGAAGACGAUAAUUUUGAAUAGCUCAUGCACCCAAACUUAUUUGUGCAACAUUAUACGAUGCAUAGGCUUACCAUCCAAGAUCUUUCGACUCCAAAAAGCCCUCUUUAACAAGAAAAAUAAAGCGACCAAGUGUGGCUAUUAGGCAUCAAGACCUUUUAUAUUUUCCAGCUGAGUUUUUUUCCUGAAACUGCCCAUGGCAACCAUAGACCAGAAUGGAGCCCCAAACUUCGAUAUGGAUUGGCAGUUACUCAAAACCUGCAUAAAAUUUACUAUAGAUAUUAAGUAUCGCUUAUGUGGAUGCAAAAAUUUAUGUUAGGUUUGUCAUCCACUACUGGCAAAAACAAGCAUUGCUAUACAUAAAACCAACUACAGAGUAUCUCCAAAUUCAGAACGCAUCCAUUUUCAACAGCUCCAAGGAGAUUACCAGUUUUGCCACAUGAGUGGAUUGUGCACAUCAUUAAGCAACUGUGUGCCACUCAAAUUGUAUAUUUGUCUUUCCAGAAACCCAGUACAAUCUUUCAGAUUGCAAGAAAUCUCUUCUUUUUUCUUAUUUGAAAGAAGAGAUGACAAUUUGAGUAAAAUAGACAAGUUGUCAAAAACACACUGACUGCCACCAAAAAUGAAUUGGAGUUCUUUUUUCACCACAAAUUGGCUGCUUAAGCAAUGGCCUAUCAUAGUAUAAAAUGAGAGUUUAAAAUGGCCAUAAACUAGUAAAAGUCAGUGACCUGCUUGCCAAAGCACAUAAGGGUAAAAGAAAAGGCACAAGAAAGGAUACUAACUGCCAACCUGUGAAGCUAACUCAACAACUAGCACCAAAAUGACAACUUAAGGGCUUCGUGAGAAUGAUUUGCUAAGUCCUUGCAGCUCUUCUUGCCUGACGUUGGACUACUGGUGCAAGAUAAGCGAGUGUUUUUCUUGAACCACUCUGAUCAGCUAUAUUACAAGUGUUUCCCUCAAUUACAGGUUUAUAUGCAAUCGCCUGGAGUCAUCAAUAGUUAGCAUCAAUCUGAGUUGCAGUACAUAAGGAGAAGUUCUUCCUUUUGUCAAAGAAUAGAUAGAACAUCUCAAUGCAAUUACUUAUCAAUACUUAUGCUAAUGAAAAGACAAAAACUGACGCUUUAGGUUGGCCCCUCAAUGACUUCCACAUCCAUCAGCUCCAAAUUCCAAUUUACAGAUAAAAUAUUAAUGAUGACGAAUGCAAGCUUACAUCUAGAACUAUACAAAAACAAGGUCAUCAUUGAUUUGAAGCUCAAUGUGGAUAUUAUGCAGACAGUAGAUAUAAUGAUGAUUAGAAAGUGCUCAUGUUUAUUACAUUGCCAGCUAAAACAGCAGUAAGGAAGCAAUGACCAAGUUCCUUCCAUUUUCCCAGCAGAAAAAGCAACAAGCUGAAACCUUACUUUGAGUAGGUCAUACUAUUGAUGUACCUGAAUAUGUGAGGGGCACAGAAAAUGCUGCUUCCUCAAAGAUUCAAUCAUAUACUCACUACAACCCAAAUCUUCAAAGGACUUUCGACCAUGGAAGUCACUAUUGGAGGAAACUUUCCUAUGCAAACUUAGAUCUUUCGAGUCAGAUCUAAAGUCAUCCAUGGACACCCCCCUGCCCCAUCCUCUGAAAUCUGCAUAAGAACUACAAACUGAACGCUUUGUUCCAAUUACUCUGGUGGUAGAUGUGCCAUGUUUAUUGGGUUCCUUUCAGUGCAGUGAACAAUCCAUAUCUUUUAUGUCUGUCCUUGCUGCAGCGUCUUUGGCAGCUUUGGAUUGGUAAGCACUUGAAUCCUUUCCUCCACGUCAAAGGAUAGCUGCUUCCUUCUGUUUCCCCAGUAGGUCCAAUUUAGAAAAAGAGAGAUUAGGCAUAUCAAGAGGUACACUUUCUACUACUGGUUCAUAAUCUUUGCGAUUCGCUUGUUUUAGCUUGGAAGAUUUUUCAGCAAGAGAUUUAACUCUCAGCAAUUUCAGUCGUCCAAAACAUCUGCCUAGACCACUCACACUUGCUGUAGGAGAAUAUCAUCUUUCGGCAGGGUUGACCCAUGAUGAUUGCCUGUAUAAAAGAAAAAGAAAUGACGGUCAGACUACAUUUUAUCGUAGGAAAAACCAAAUUCUUCUCCAAGCUCUGACUUUACACAUUGCACAGAGGGAUUCGGAACGCUACAAGAAAGUCUUAGCACAGAUUGAAAUGGGAGAGAAAUUUCUAACUCUGUUUGCAUACAUCUGUUUUCAAGGCAGCCUAAGAAAACCAAAAAAUCAUUUACCCAAGACUGUAUAAUUCAGAUAAGCUCCAAAAGAAAAUCUAAUGUUGGAUUUGUUAUCCUCCAUCUGAACACAAUGCGUAUAACAAAUCGUUGGAGUCGUUGCAAGAGCUUGGAUACCAAUUAUCAACAAUGCAAAAAAAAAAAAAAAAAACCAACAAGGAAUAGGGAAUUCGUCAUCAGAACCGACUGCAUCAGUCAUUCUGACUUGCACAUUCACAUCAAACACGUCUACAGUCAAAUGCGAACUACGCAAGUUAACAGCUCAAUUACAGAGAUAAAUCCAACCCUACCGUCUCGUCGUCAAUUGGCUGGUAGGCCCCCGCCCGAGUCUCCGAGGGCCAAGGCUCAGAUAUUAAAAAUACCCUAAUCUCUUCCAUGUUGAAUAUUCAAGAGUCCGAAUCCCUUUUCUCAAGUAAUUGACUUGGAGUCGUCAUCACCCAAUAUAACUUCUGGGAUUUCGCGGAUGAGGGGCCAAUAGUGGCCGGUCCCUUUCCUGCAUCGCUCCUCCAGAAUCUCACAUCCCGAGAUCCGGAGUUGACAUAGGGAGGGAAGGAGGCCAUCUUGGGGCAACUCCCUCAGCUUCGGGGCAACCCAAGAUAAAUAAGGUCUGGAGAGAGGGAGGGAGACUGGUGGACAUUCUUUCCACGUUCUUCAUGUCAAAGAUAUAGAGCUGGGACAGAGAGGAGGAAGGGAGCGGAAGCACAAGAUCCUCCUCCUCUCCCACUCCUCCCACGCUGCCGUCGAUCGCUAGAACUAGAAGGGAGGUGAGGGAGGUAAGCCACUCCUUCAUCGGCUGCUUCAUAUUCUCGCAUCCAAAUAAAAAAAGCACCUCUAACUGGAGUGGCAAUCCUUCAUCGGGGAAGCGCGUAAUACUCUCACACCCAUUAAUAUCCAGAUGUCGAAGACUCGUGAGUCGAUGCAAUUGAUUAGGUAACGAUUUUAUCUUCGGACAAUCCCCAAGCUCAAACGUCGAGAUGCCGGGAGGAAGAGGAGGGAAGCACUCCAGCUCUAGUGCAGGACACUCCCCCAAUGACAAGAAAGUGAGAUGGGACAAUGUGUGCAGCCCCUGUGGUAAGCUUCUCAAAUUUGUACAAGAUUUAAUUAUAAUCCUUUUAAGCGACUGAAGGCGGUCCACAUGUAUCUCCGCGAGCGACUCCAUUCCCCCACACGACUCAAUUUCAAGUGUCGUGAGGGUCGCAGGUACAAAUCUAUUCUCGCUGAAUGGAGAGACCGACGGAGAAGUGCAUUCGUAGAUAUUUGAAUUUUGCAAAUGAAACGUCAUGUCACUGUGGUUAUUGCUGCUUGGUUCAUCCAUAUGAACACUUGAUCCUCCAAAUAAAGAUAAUAACAUCUUGCAAUCUCGGAUAUUUAAUGAUAUCAUUGAUGCCAACAUACCUAUUUCAAGGAAGGACACAAGUUUUGGACACUCCUCAAUGGUCAAGUCUUGAAGAGAGGAGAGGGUAUAAAUCUUGCUUGGGUGCUUCUCUAGAUUGAUGCAAUUCCGCGAGUCCAUAGUCUCCAACUUGCUACACAACUCUAUAUCUCCUUCUCCAGUUGAAAAUGAUAUCAAUUCAUGACAACUUUUGAUAACUAAGCUCUUUAGACAAGCGAGAUUUUGAAUUACAUCUCUCUCUUGCCACAAGUAUAUCAAAUUUUUACAACUUUCCAUCUCCAACUUCUCCAGCUUCACUAAGGAGCUUGUAAACCCAUAAUUUAAACAAGUUAAUUCACUAACAUCUUGUAGGACAAGAGCAGUUAGAGAUGUCAAGUUUACCAAACUCUUCAACACUCCCUCAUUACAACCUCUAAAGUUUAAUUCAUUGAGGGAUGGAAGGCUAUAAAUAAAGGAUGAGGCAUCCAUACGAGGACAGGAGUUGAUUUCCAGCUUUCGGAGGGAGCUUAGUUGACUAGGCAAUCUUCCAAUCAACAUAGGACAAUCCCGAACAACCAGAUACUCAAGACAAGGGAAUAAAACUCCUAAUUCUUCAUUGCCGACGCAAUGAGACCAAUCCUCCCACAAUGGCAUGUCCUUGAAUUCCAAAGUCAUUAAGGAUGGAAAAGGAUUUUUAGUUUCAUAAAAUUCAGACCCUACCAUGCGUAUUGCAUUUAGACUUUCGAUGUACAAUUCUUUUAAAGAAGAUAAUUGUCCCAGUGAGGCUAAUGCUUUGGCCCGACAACACCCAUGUAAACGUAAAUGCACCAUAUUAAUAUAUGAGGGACUUCCUAACCAUGAUGAGAAUUCUAGGCCACCAUAGUAGGAUAUUGCGAGAUUUUCAAGAUUUGGGUGAGGGCGAAGAAAGUCAAGGACUUUUGCUUCAAGCUCUUCAUUUCGGAAAUUUCCAAAAUCUUUGCACCAUUGCAUGGUCAACUGGCAUAUUCCCUCCUUCAUGCAUAAAUUGGCAUCCAUGGCAUCUCUGGCUUCUCGUACCUUAUGCAAGUUUGAGAUGCACAAUUCCCCUCCAAGGUUCUUUAGGCUUUCUAACUCCUUCAACCUUGACCCUGCUUCCAUUCCCACUACAAAUUUGGAUAGCAUCUCAAGACCCACCAAAUUACCUAUAUAUUGCGGCAUCGCUUUUAGGCUCGGAGUGUCGGUAAAGUCGAGAAAUUUUAAAUUGAUUAGCUUCUCCACACCUUCUGGUAAUUCAGUAAGGUUUUGACAUCCUCGUAACAUCAAGGCUUCUAGGUAGUACAAUGCAACAAUUGACUUUGGAAGGGUUUCAAUGUCAGUAUAUGACAAAUUGAGGCACCUCAAGUGCCUCAGUUUGCCAAUGCAAUCCGGUACCUCUCUGAUGCGACAGUGACGUAAUGAAAGCACCCUCAAGUACUUCAAUUCGGAUAACAAGUCACCUAACACUUUCUCAGAUAAAUAAGUAGGUUGCUUUCUUAACGAUAUGAAGCUCCUAAGUCCUUUCAUUCCAUGAUACAUCUCGAAUAAUUCUGCGAUAAUUUGACGAUUGCAAAUGAAUGAGGCAUAACGAGCUAAAGAUGCAUUAUUUUGAUAAUCGUCAUAAUCAAACUCCUCAAAGCUAAAACAAGUUGCACCGGCAACUAGCUUUGCGAGGUCAUUCACAAGAUCAUGCAUCAAGAAUCGUGAUUCGUUGCUACUCAACUUUUGAAGUAACGAUCUAGAUACUAGCUCGUCAAAAACUUUCAAACCUGCAUUCCAAUAGUUCUUUCCUUCUUUUCCCUCCAACAAGCCCUCUGCAAUCCAGUAGUGAAUCAACUCAUCCCGUUCAAUUUCAUGAUCCUUGGGAAAUAUAGCGCAGUAAGCGAAACAUCUCUUCAAAUUUGAAGGGAGAUGGAGGUAGCUAAGUUUCAAGGCCGGAAGGAUAUCAUUACUUUCUUUUGGUAGAUCCCAAAUUUUGCUAUCCAAUAUAGCUUGCCAUUCAUGGGGACUAACUUUAAAGCUCAACAACCCAGCCAAAGUCUUCACGGCUAAUGGUAACCCUCGGCAUUUUUCCACUAUUUUCAUACCUAAUACUUCAAGAUUUGGAUGAUGAUCAAAAUUUCCCACUCCAAGAGCAUGAAAUGCAAACAAAGUCAUACAAGAAUCUUGUGACAACUCUUUGAGAAUAUAAGGUUGAGCACGGGCUAUUUCAGCAACGCGAAAACUACGAGUUGUGACAAUGACCUUGCUUCCCUUCACUCCCGAUUGAAAGGGCUUCAAGAGGAUAGUCCAGUUGCCAUAAUUCUCAUUCCAAACAUCGUCUAAAAUGACAAUAAACUUCUUCCCUGCAAGGUGUUCCCUGAGCUUACCAUGAAGCCAAUUCAGGUCCUUUCCUUCACAGGGCAAAUGGUCAUUCACUAUCUCAAGGAUCUUCUUUGUAAUAGCAAGCGCGUCAAAAUCAUCGGAAACACAAGCCCAUGCUUUCACAUUGAAAUAGUCGGUGACUCUAGCAUCAUUAUAGACUUGCUGAACCAAAGCCGUCUUCCCAAUACCCCCCAUCCCUACUAUGGGAAUCACUUUUAGAUCUGCACAUGUCCUAUCAUCUUCUUCUUCUUUGGUCAACAAUUCAAGGAUCUUCAUUUUUUCAACCUCCCUGCUAACAAAACAAGGCUCGGACAAACUUGUAGUGUGAAGCCGCUUAUCCACUCCUACGUAUGCCACUCGCUUCCCAUUGUUCUCUCUCAAGCUCAAAGUAUCUUUCUGAGUGAUGAUAUCCUUUAAUCUACCAUCCAUCUCUUCUAUCUUGGAUCUCAUUUUAUGAUCAAACAUAAAUGCUUUCAGGCUCAAGCUAAAGCAACAACUAGGAAGAAGGGAACGUGCCUUGCUAGUGCCGGGUUCUGCCUUGGACUUAUUUUUCACGGACUCCAUGGCGAACUCGUCAAGCAAGUCUUCGAUGUCAUAGACCAAGUUCCUGAGAUCUUUAAGCCACAACUUCACAUCGGGAUCGUCGGUGAGUUGCCUAUCCUCUGCAUCAUCCAACGCCUUGUUGAUGCUAAUCAACAUCUUCUCCCAUUUCUUCAGCAGCGUAUCUAUACCCUCGCGCCGCGCAAAGUUGAGAACCUCGUGAGAGGCCAACCUUUCGAAAAGCACCGAAAGAAAGGCGCCAAGAAAGAGCUCUGCGAUGGGCAUGGCUUGGCUCACGAGUGGCAGAGGAUUAAACAAGAGUGCUGAAAGGGUCGAAACAAAGUGCAGAAAGCGGAGAGGAAACAAAAGUUCUUCCGUCCAGGACAAUGAGAUGAAAUGAUGGUGUGAAUCAAAGACUUUUUAAGCACUAAAGCGCUCUUUCUUUCUCGGAAGAAGCUGCCGUAGCAUUUUUUUCCAUCUCUUCCUCGCUGAUUCCAUUUCAUUUCUGUGGACUCGAUUUCUCGGAAGCAAGUUGGUCGGAUGUGGGACCGAGUCUUGGCAUCAUUGAAGCCUCCAUGCAUCGAAAGUUCCAAAAAUUAUUCAGUUGAUUGCUCAACAAAUGUCCAGAAAUACUUGAUAAAAGAAAAAUCAUUUUUGACUAAUGGCUAGAAAGAAAAAAACCGUUGCUUUUCUUAAUUACUAUGGUUGCUACUUAGCUUCGCUCUCUGAAAAGUACAUUACGCGUUAGAUUAGCAGCCAAAUAUUGAGUGGGCAUAAAUCAAAUUAUAUUGCAAACUUUCAAGCACCAUUUUCUUUUUCCCUUUUAUAAUGAUUAUAUUCACACCAAAGCGUCCUCAUUUUAUUUAGUCCGUGCGUCAUUAAAAUAUGCUUACUGUUUUGCCAACCUAACUACAAUUCGUCCACGAGGUAAAUAUUUUAUCCAAAGAUGGACAAAUUGAUAAGUUUAAUUAAUUACAAGGUUUAAGCGGUGGUUCAAGAAGUGGGUUAGCCUGAGGACGCUGUUUAAGGGGGGUUUAAGAAAUGGGAGAGGACCUUAUGUGGAGUUGCAGAAGUUAUUCUCUAUCUGCCCUCUUUACCAUGUGCGGUUGCAGGCCUCGUGUGCUAAGCAUCGCAAGAAGGGGAGGUGAUUAUGGCAGGACAUGUGCGAAAGCCAGGGAAUCAAACUUUGAUAAUUCAUGUAUUACUUUUCUAUUUUCAUUGCUCUUUUUGAGCAAAUAAUUUAUUUAUUAAACGCCAUUCACUCUCUACCCUCUUCACCAUUCCCAGAUAGAGGCCCCAUGCGCAAAGCAUAGAAAGAAGGGUGAGCAUAUGGCAGGACAUGCGCAGAAGCCAAGGAAUCCAACUUUUAUAUUUCAUAUCUUACUUCCUAUUUUCAUUGCUCUUUUGUACAAAUAACUUAUUUUAAGCAAGGAAUCGAACUUUUAUAAUUCAUAUUUUACUCCCUGUUUUCAUUGCUCUUUUGUACAAAUAACUUAUUUAUUACUCUCUCUCUCUUUCUCUCUCUCUCCCCCCCCCCCUCCAUGUAUAUUACUUUUCGAUUUUCUUUGCUAAAUAAAAUUUUAGUUUACAUGUUGUUCUUUCGAUGUUUGAUCCCUUCUUCCACUCCUUCACACGGUACUUUUUGUUGUCUGGCCUCCGUUUCUCGAUGCCAAGAGAUAUUUGUUCAUAGCGAAAUUAUAAGGUCGUUGUUGAGAUGUUGUCCUAUCCUGAAUAAUGUGCAUGCUCUUUAGGGUGAAGUGCACUCGCCCCACAAUAAAGUGGUCACUUUUAUUAAAAGGAAGUGCAUGCUUCUCGUGAUAAUAUACCCUCUCAUUCAUAAGGAAAAAUUACCAAAAAAAAAAAAUUUGGACUUACUAUAAUUAUAUAAUCUCAGUCCUAAGUAUUUUAAUUUGGUCAAGAAACAGGUUUAGGACUAGUGCUCAAUCCAUGUUUAUCCUUCAACAGUGGUGGAAAGAUCUGAGAUUGUGGUGACUCUGACCAGUAAAGUAGACGCACUUUUUUUAUGGAUCACAUUUGCUAUACUUGCUAUUACUCGAUUGUUCAUAAGUCCACUAUUCUUGUCUUGAUUGAGGCGACGGGCUUCUUUGUUAUUUAACCUUUGGCUGGUGACGACUUGGAGCAAUCUGCUACCAAGCUUUCAGCUUCCCAGGUAAUUGACUGAUUUUUAGUUAAGGUCUUAACUAAGGUUAAGCUACGGUGGUCCAUAGUCCAUCCGCAUCUCUUCUUUCUAUCCUCGUCAUUCGGGUCUCUAGUCACUCUAAAACUCGGCCUAUGAUAAUUAAAUAUUCCAGAAAAAAGUUGCUGUGCUUUUUUUUUCUCCGCCGAUUGCUCCUUCGCACUCCCCUUCCUUCGUUCUUGUUUGCACUCGAAUCUCUACACCUUCUUAAUCUCUCAUCGUUGAUUUCAUUUGAUUUAAUUUAAUGGGAGCAAGUUGGUCAAUAAUGGCAUCCUGGUCUUGGCAUUAUUAAGGCUGCUCUCUCAAUUUCUUUCCCACUCAUUUUUUGUACCCACCCAUCAUCACCAUGCAUCACAUAGACAUAUUGGCAUCAUCGUCUCAUUGACGCGGUCUCGUACAUCGGUCAUAUAAGUCCCAACCAUUAUUCCAUAUUACAUGAGAACUCAAUGCAUUAAAAACUGUAUAAUUUACUUAGCUGGUCAUCAAGUGUCCAGAAAGACUAGUUAAUAAUUUUUUUUUAAAAUAAUGACUAAAAAAAUUGUUACUUUAUCUUCAUUACUGUCAUUGCUACCUAGUUUCGCUCUCUAAAAGAUACGUUAUGCAUUAGAUUAGUGGCAAAAAAUAGAGUGGUUUGGAAUCGAAUUAAAUUGCAAACCUUCUAACACCAUUUUCUAUUUUUCCCCUUUUAUAAUGAUUAUACCCAUAAUGAAGCUUUCUCAUUUUAUUUGGUCCGUGGGCUCAUAUUAAAAUAUGCUUAUUGUAUUGUCAGCCUAACUACAAUUCGUCCAACGGAUAAAUAUUUUAUCCAAAGAUGGCCAAAUUGAUAAAUUAAAUUAUUUAUAAGGUUCAAGGGGUAAGAAGUGAGUCAGCACGAGGAUGCGGUUCAAGGGGUGGUUCAAGAAAUGGGGGCCAGACAACAACAAGAAUUAUUGAGCGAGGAAGAGGAAGAAGGAAUCAAACGCCAUUCUCUCUCUACCCUCUUCAUUAUUGCCGGAUGCAGGUCCCAUGUGCAAAGCAUCGAAAGAAGGGUAAUUAUGGCAGGAUAUACGCGUAAGUCAAGGAAUCAAACUUUCAUAAUUCCCAUGGGGUCAUUGGUCUUCUGCAUAGAUAAUUUAUAUAUUACUCUCUCUCUCUCUCUCUCUCUCUCUCUCUCUCUCUCUCUCUAUCCAUGUAUAAUACUUUUCAAUUUUUUUUCUUUUAUUUAGAGUUCAUAUGUUAUUAUUGUUCUUCCCAUGCUUUGCACAUGGGACCUGCAUCUAGGAAUGGUGGAUAAGGUAGAGAGAGAAUGACGUUUGAUUCCGUCUUCCUCUCCUUCGCACAGUACUUCUUGUUGUCGUCUAGCCCCCAUACCUUGAACCAGCUAAGUACAUGACAUCAAGAGAUAAUUAUUUAUGAAGAAAUGACAAGGUUCCUAUCGAGAUGUAGUCUUAUUCUAAAUAAUGUGUAUGCUUUUUAGGGUGAAGUGCACCCUCCUCACAAUAAAUUGCUCACUCUUUUACGGUGAUUUGCACAAUCUUGUUCACAUCAAGUGCAUAAUCCUUAAAUGUCAAAGUGCAUUUCCUUCCUAGAGUUGAGUGAACACUCAUUAUAAUCAAGAGUGAACUCCUUCUGACAUCUGAAUUAAUAACGUGCCUCUUUUGAUGAGGAGCAUGUCUCUUAAGCAGGUUGAUGUUGAUGAGACACUCAUAAUGUUCCUAUUGUUCUAUCAAUUUAAUUUCGGAAUUCUCUAGGAAGUCAAUGUUUGCUUUCUAUUGUUGUAGGAACUUGAUAAUCUAAACUAGAUCUUGUCCAAUACAAUUAUUUGUGAAAUAGAGAUGAGAGUUUUCUAUUAUUUUAACCAUUGUUUGAAUUUCAGUGUAAGUUCCCACCUAAAAAAUCCUAAUUUAGAGCAAUUGACCCUUUUGUGCCUUGACUCAAAAUUGAAGCAAUGAACAUCUAUCUAGUGGUUGCAACUUAGCCUUUGAUGCUCUGUGCAGCCCCUGAUCCAUAAUCUGCUCUAACUCUAGGGAAGGCCACGAUUAAGAGUAAUCCCAUCCUCUCCUUUCCAACAAAUGGUCUCUUCUUGUACGGCUCUUUAGAUGAUAAAUAAAUGAUAAUGCUCUCCAGCAGAAUAUUAAAAAGUAUAGUUUGAUUGAUUGAUUGUUUAAACUGGAAUACUAUGCAUGUGUCAAACUUUUCUUAAUAUGCCGCAUAUGAUCCAUUUGUUUAAAGGUCUAUUUGUAGUAUGCUAUAUUACUUGGUGUAUCAAUCUAAUUGAUUGCUCCAAAAAUCAUCUAGCUUUGUCAUCUUUACAAAUGGAGAGCCCUAAUUAUCAUCAGUGAUAAAAGUUCGACAAAUUGGCUCAUUGUUCUUACUCUUUGAUAUUCUAUUCUCCUAUUUUUUCCAUAGCUUAAGUAGUUUAGACUCAAAGAUAUCCAUUCCAUUAACGAUAUGGUAUAGUGCAUAGCAAGGUUAAUCAUCCUUCAAACACGAAAUUGAACAUGAAAAAAUACAUAGGAUAUUCACAUCAAUCAAAUUCUUAUUUUUAAUCAAACAUUAGUUUAUUAAGACAACCAAAUACACCCAUAGUGGUCAAGUCAUUUACAUAGGAAGUUCAAAAAGGUCAAUUGAUAAUGAGAACAUGAUUAAAAUGCGACCAUUUUUUCAAAGUUCCAAUAUCAAAUGUUAGGAAUUUGAAGUUUUUAUCAUUUCUUGAAUUUAUUAUACUUAAUAGGGUAAGAUUGACUGUGAUUCCCAAUAAGGAUCCUAAUAUUUUAUGGUGUUCAUUAUUGUGCUUGAGUGCUAUGUUUUUCCCAUUGUUGCAGCAUCAUGAGAUGGUGGAAUUGAUUGUCUAUGAUAGGUACGCUAUUCAAGGAAGCAGCGGGGCCAAGACUGGGCAGCAUCGUCUUAUGUUAGCUUUCUUUAAUAUGAUUUCAAACAAACGUAAACCCACUUGAACACAAGUUGAAAACAAGAGCAAAUCUUUUCGAAGGGAUCCACAAUUUAAGCCAAUCUAGCUAAACUAUGAACUGGCUGCAUUAUCUUCCUUCCGUUAUUUACACCUAUACAGCAGGACACCGAUACCCUACUCCAUUGGGGAGAAGCUCUAAGCACCACUAAACAUGCGAGUCGAAAGACUUUCGCGUCGGUCCAACCAUCCUCCCUCCCCCUCUUCUCCUUCUUCAGUAUCGUAUGUUCUUUUUCAUCCCUCUCUAUGUCUCUCCGUCUUUUCAUUUGUGGGCUUCCUCGUCAUUUUCUCACUCUUUCUUUCUCGGAAGACGCUGCCAUUGCAUUUCAUCUCAUCUCAUUUGAUUUUUAAUUUCCUUUCUGUUGCCUCAAUUUCUCGGAGGCAAGUUGGUCGGAAGUGGGAACCAAGUCCUGGCCAUCGUUAAAGCCACCAAAGAAGGCUCGGAAGGUUAAAAAGUGGGCCCGAAACUUCACCUUUAUUAUCGUUCGUCAGUUCUGUCUCACCAUUCACAUCACGCAAAUUCCCAAAUGCACCCAUCCACCAUUGUCAUGCAUCACAUAGAUCAUAGGGCAUCAUGGUUUCACUGAUGCAGCCUCGCUAGCCCCAUGUCAUUAUCAAAUAAAGAAGCAGCCGUUCCCUAAACUUAAUAUAUGUAAAUCAGAUCAUCAUUAACCAUUGAUCAUAUGCGUCCGAACCAUUAUGCCACGUGACACGAAAGCCCGAUGCACUGACAACUGUAAAAUUUUUGUAGUUGAUUGUUCAGCAAGUGUCCAAAAACACUUGUCAACAAAACCGUUUUUAAUUGAUGAUCAGAAAGAAAAAAACGAUUACUUUCUCUUCAAUUGUGUUGUUGUCACCCAGACGUGCUCUCUCAAUCGGAUUAGACUAGAUGGAAAAAAAAACCAGGUGGCUAUAGAUCGAACUAAAUUGCAGACCUUCAAGCUUCAAUUUGUUUUUUUCCCCUUUUUGCCAAGCAACUAUGAUUAUAUUCAUAGCAAAGGCUCCUUGUCUCAUUUGGUCCAUGGGUAAAAAAAAAAUAUGCUUAUUGUUUUGUCUUGGGAAGAGAAAAACUACCUAACUUCAAUAUGCCCACCACCCAUUCAAAUAGGUGGAAUUUGGUAUAUACUUACGCAUACCCUAUUAUUAUAUUGUGCAUAAAUAUUACAUUAGUGGGUACACAAAUAACCGAAUGGCUCAUUUAUAGAUUUUGCUAUGGCAUUGCAUCAUGACAAAUGAUCGAUGUGGGGAGCACACUCUUAAGAUGGGGAGGUGGACUAAAUGAAUUAUGUGAAAGUUUGGUUUAGACACCACUUGAAAGCUAAAUACAAAAAGAAAAAAAUAUUCACAAAUAGUUCAUGGGUUUCAAGAUCAAAUAAAAUAUGAAAUUUCCAUGCUACAAAUUCAAAUAAGAUAUGCUUAUGUUAAUUAGGAGAACAAUGGAAGUAACUAACUACGAUCCAUCCACCACCUAAAUUUUCAUUAAACAUGGACAAAUGAAUAAAACAAUUCAAUAAGUUUAAUUAAUUAUGCCCUAUAAAAACAAGGUGUCAAAAGAUUUUUGUUUAUAGAGAAAUUACAAGUUCUUGUUGAAAUGCAUUUCUAUUCUAGAGAUGGUGCAUUCUCUUUAGGACAAAGUGCACCCUUUUCACAAUUAGUUGAAAAAGGUAGAGUGCGUGCGUUUUGCUCUUAUUCAGGUGAAGCGCACAUUCCUCAAAGGUCAAGUACAUGCUUUCUAGGUAUUUGAAACAGGGCAUGUAAUUGUUUGUGUUCCCAGGUCUUGGAAAAGUCAACAAAGGGAGCAAUUGCUUCGUGUCUGAAUUUACGUUGAAGUUUCCUACUAGUCUUCGUCGACUCGACGGUUAGAAAAGAUCCAUGGAAAAAUUGCCUUCUUCCUUUCUAGAAGCACUAAUGGUUAAAUAAUUGACACACAAAGAAGAAUUGUAUGCAUGUGUAAUUCGAAUCUUUCAUUAGGCAAGAUACAAAAUACUUUAUUAUCAAUUAGAUAUUUCAACCAAGCUUUAAUCCAAUUCUUGCCUAACUCUUAAAAAUAGUAGGGUUCUAUGAAUUUAGAAUUUAUCAAGGUAAGGGAGCUUUCUCGCUAUCAAGAGAAAAAAAAAAUCCAUGUUAGCAAAUAAUUUUUUUUCUAUGGAAAAUCAUUAAAUAUAAGUGUAAUUAAGGAUAACCUUUUUGUGGCCUUUUCCGUGGAAAAUUGCCAACUGUCAUUGUUUUAUGCCCGAAUUUUCUUGUUAGGAGAAGCUUCACGCUAACCAUUGAAAUCACGUGGCAACUUUUGAAGAACUUCCUGAUUAGGUACGUGAAUUACAUACGCCAAAUCUUUGACUUAAUGGCUCUUUCUCCAUUGUGCUAAACUUACUGGGCCCGAAAAAGAAGAAGAAACCGUGACAAAUUUGCACAUAGUCUAAUGUACAUUCAUUGAUGAGGGCGCAAGCAUCGUAGUUGACACACAAACACACUACAUAUUUCUAAUGUUGAACCAUCCUCAAUGAGAGGGUUUAAGUCGAGCACAUACGUGUCAGAAUUUCGACAUCUCUUAAUCUUGGAGCAGAUAAGUAAGCUCCCGUUUCCAUCUUCUGGAGCUUAUCUUGGGGAGGUUGUAGUGGCUUAUUUUGUGCCACCGUUGUCUAAUCUCAUCGCUGGUGGACAUGAUCAAAACAAGUCUUUACUUCUCCCACUUCAGUCUUGACUUGAGACACUUCAAACUGAACAUUUGACACCGUUGUGGUCAAAUGUUUUAAGUACCUCACUUAGGGCAAAAGCAUUUUUUGUUUGCCAAAUUAGAACAAACUCUGCGAGGGUGAUCCUUCUGGAGUUUCGGGCUGGAUCGACUCUAGUUAGGUUUCAGACCUUUAGGCGAUGCUCAUAUCAAAUCGUGUUUAUAAAUUCUUCCAAGGAAGAAAAAUUUUAUGGUUGAAACGUGCAAAUACUAAGCAAGUCUAAUGGUUAAAAUGCCCCUUAUGCUGUAAAACCACAGAGACUAAGGACGUUAGCAGAAUAAUAACUUACCGAAUCUAAUCAUUUAGCAAAUAUUAAACACCCAUUGAAAAUGAAUCUUAAUGCAAAACCAACCUUUCAUGUAAAUUUUAGAUUACGUGCCUUAAACUAAGAUUAACUUGCAAAAUGUCAUGCCACAAUUUCCAAAAGAAUAAUUAUCAACAAGGUCAUUAACCUAUUAUACAUAUGUCAUUUCAGUCAAUAACCUUUCAAUUUAAUCAAAUUUAAUCAUAAACCUUUUAAGAAAUUAUCAAUAUAGUCAUUUCAGCUAAUUUUACGCAAAAAAUUAUUAAUGGGGAUACUAGCCAUCUUACAUGGCACAGGUAGUGCUAAUAUAAAUAAUUUUUUAUAAUUUUAAAAAAAUGUGAAUUUUUUAUAUUUUUCAUAAUUUUCGCCACACCCCUCUAGCCAACGAGGGCUCACAGGCCUUCUUUUAGUGGCCGUUGCUGGUCACAAUGAAAAAACAGAACAGAAAAUUUAUACAUCGGCAGGUUGGUUAGUGUUUAUUUCCACCGGGCAAUGACGCCAUCUCGUUUUCUCGGCGACUGCAGGUCAGCUCGCCGCUCGCCGCCGGCGACCUCGAAGAGCAGCAGUUGGCGAUUUUCGUCGACGGAUCUGGUCAUCGUUCAAAGUCGGCCUCGAUGGAGCUUGAUAUCUCGGGAUUCGAUACGCCUUCUCCAAGAAAGUGACGGUCGAUCCGGCCUUCACCUCCGUCGCAGUGCGCCACCAUCGUCACCGGCUGCGCAACGGAGGUCAGGCUCUCUCUGGCUUUAUCUAUCUGGCGAGUUGUCCACCGGCAUUGACAGAGCUCUCGCGAAUGAUUCGGUCGAGCUAGAGUUUACUCUCUCUCUCUCUCUCUCUCUCUCUCUCUCCCUCUCCCUCCAGAGCGGCUCCCGAAAAGCUCCGUCACCACCUCUCCAUAUCUGUCCUUCACCAUCAACGACUCCAGCUCGCCAGUAGGAUCUUCGCAAGAUACCUCGGAGGCGAAGAAGGAUUCAGAAGCGGUUUCAUGUUCAUCUUUGCUUUUCACUGGAAUCAACAGACCCUCGGACUCGGCCAGUCGGGGACCGACGAAGCUCAAUUUGGCACAUCGAAACUCGGAUAUUCACCAUCGUGCACGAUCGAGACUCUUAAUCUCUGAUCAUCUCAGGAUUCUGAUCCAUCGUUUCCUACUUCAUCGCCGAUAAUCAGUUUGCCGAAUAUUCCCCUGAGAAGCACGCGAUGCAGAGGAAGGACUAAGAAGCUGAUGACACGAGAGAAAGCGGAGCCGUGAAAUAGAGCAGUCGCUCGCCAUCGUCCAACGCAGCUUGACCGUCAGGCUUUAAUGCUCGUGGGCGGACGCAGCGAUUGCGAGUUCAGGCGAUGACGAAAUCCAUCUGCUAACAGCCGCACUUACCCAGGUCAUUUUCGGCUACUGCAUUGCAAAAUUCAACCAUCAAAUUUCGACACUAGAGAAAAUGCAAGGAGAGAAUCGGAUGAAUUCCAGGCGAUCGAUCCUGCAGGUUUAGCUAAUGAGAGAGAGGCCCGAUGCCAGUUAGAACAGCUCCUAAGCUUGCCAUCCGGAAAUGCCGAACUCGGGAAGGUUUUUACUCUGAAAUCAAGAAAGGAGGGUCCUAAAUAUGUGCACAUUGUUCUUGCUUCUUCGUAUCAGAUCGGCUCUCACUUCUAAACUCAAGUAGGAACUAAUGCUUUCUUAAGAUACUGCACAAAUUAGAAGUUUAUGGGCUGCAUUUUACAUUAAAUCAAAGUACAUGAGGAUUUAUGUUAUUAUCUCUAUUAAAAACGUGAUUGAUCGAUACAAAAAAUUCAUUUUAUUCUGGCCACAUCGUGCAAACGGACCGGCUUGGCUAAAAGAUGUAGACUACAAAAAUUGAGAGUUUGGCCCAAGGGCUUCCUUAUAAGAUGGUGCAGGAGAUGAAUGACACCAAGAAAGGCCCUCAAAGAAUGGAAUGACACUUUCAUUCUAGUCGGAUGGUCUUUUGCAUUUGCAUUCUUACAACUACAACACCCUAAGAAAAACUAUAUGGAGGUCAGUACAAAUUACAAGUUUUGCCUGUUGCAACAGUUUAAGAUAAGUUACUAUGUUAAUGUGAUCACGGUAUGAAGUCUAGAGCUAAACUUACACUAAUAACUACAGGUAGAUUACUCCAGGAUCAGUCAAAUUACAAUGCUGGAUUCAUAUUACCAGGUACAAGAACUAUAAGGUAUGACCUUUAAGGAAAAUUAUAAUAUAAGGAGUAACAUCUCUUAAGACGGAGUCAUUUACAUUUAGUGGAAGUAAUUUAAUUUACCUUUUGAGUAAUUUAGCUUGAAAGUAAAGUUGGCUAUGCAGUAUAAAGUUCAUAAAUUAUAUUUUGUGCUCAUAAAUUAGCUUCUUAUACCUUAACGCUCAGUAACUUGCUAUAGCAGAUCAUUUCAUAUAUUCAUUGCAUACAACAAGGGAUACAGUCCCGAACUUUCCUAUCAUUGCAUAUUCAUUAUCAACAAAGUGCAACUUCGGACAAUACGGGCCUCUGAGACUUCUUAAAUUGGUUUCGAUCCUCAAGAGCAUCAAUCCUCCUUGACAAUGAACUGAAUAAAGACCGAAAUAUGUAAGUUUUGAACCUUGAUAUCGAGCUCUUCAUUGCAUUAACGCUUCUGUGAUCCCCCUCAACAUGUAGAUGCAACAUGGGAGAAGCAGGUUCUAACCAAACAACUCCCUUUACGUUUUCACUUCUUGCCUCGCGCUGCUCCUCCGUAACAUGCAGGAGAAACAGAAUGGACUGAUGGGAUCUACUCCCGUCACUACAGGCAUGAACUCAGAUCCCGCUUAGUGCACGAACGUCCCAUCAACUCAUAACUGGAGGCCAUGCUAGGGACGACCUUUCCAGUUUCUCUCCAUUAUUCUUCUCACCAGGGAAACUUGCUUCCCAACUGCGGAGACGAACGCUUUGCCUUUCCCUCCAGCACCUCUCUCUGUGGCGGACAUAUUUGCUCGGAUCAUGUGGGAAGUCGAAGAGAAUAACAUGGUCCACUCCAGUAAAGUCGAUUCCUUGUAACGACCUGUCAUAUGGUUGAAAAAUCAUCAGGAUCUUGCAAAUACCUAAGGAAAGAUGAGAGUGACAUGUCUUAGGUAAAUUCAUGUGUUUCCAGUGACCCUGCUCUGCAUUCCGUUUGACUGUGUCGCAAACAGUGCCGUUAAAAUCACCAGGUGCUGUUAAGAGACUCAGGACCCACAGUGCCUCAGGCACUAGGCUGAACAAUGAGAGGUGCCAAGUACAAAGUGGGGAUUAAUCCAUCAACAAACAAAUUAUUAGGUCUUUCAUACUUAGAAUCACAAGUUAUUCGAGGUCUGCAUCGUAGCACAAAUUGCACUGGUGCAAAGAUCUUAACCUAGACAAAUCUUUUCUGAGGCAAUGCCUCAGAGGAGGAGCACCUCAUCUCAGGUGCUUACCUUAAAUGAAGAAACCUUGCCAUUACUAUUUUCAUCUAAUUCUUGUUGAGACUGACUCCAUUAUUAAAUGUGCAAGCUUGAACUGAGAACUGAAGGCCUGGGUCUAGGCAGGUUAUGCACGGUUUAACUUAAGGCUUACUUUUAGGGAUCAAGCUCCGCGGCAGAGCAGAUCUAUUUCUAGAAGCAUAGUUUGAUUGAUAUCGCACUAUGCAACUAUACAUACCUGUCGGUGCAAACCAAAAACAAGGAGACAUCUUUAGAUGGAGAAGCAGCAAACUCUUUCAUAUUUGCUUGCCGCAACUCCUGUGAAACAGCAGCAUGAAAAGGUAGAACUUGUGUAUCAGCGCCUUUUCUGUCAAUGCGCUUCAAUGCAUUUUCAACAAUUCCAAGCAGCCUUUACUGAAAGCUCAACAUAUCUUGUUAUAGAAAACAAUCGUUUUGGUUACUGGGCUUUCUUCCACAAGCUGAAUAAAAGCAAACUUCUUAUUCAGGAAUGUAGUAUCUGGAGUCUUUUCACUGUCUUCCUCUCCACUACAAUCUAUGAGAAACUGGGCAUGAUAUGUAACUCUUAAAUUCUCCCCUAUUACAAUGGUAUUUCGUUAGUUUUCUUCUUAACAGGAAAAGAAGAGGAAAAGCACUGGUUAGCUACCACAGCAAAUUUAUGCAACAUGUUCAUCAAGGGGAAGGACAAAGCAAUUUGAUGUAACAGAAGAUUACUGUUCAACCCGCAUGAGAAAGCUCCUAGCCUAUCUAGGAUUAAUGUUGCAAAAAUAAUCCUUCCCCAGUAUAUGCAACCUAAAUUAGUUUGUACAAUACCUCUAUACAAAGUUAAAUUCUGAGAAUCAAUGAGCUGGCAAAAUGAAUAGAAACAAUACUAAGGACAACUGCAAAAAUUCUUCUGCAAAUUGAGGAAAGAAGAAACAGAUAGGACCCUAAUAUAAUCCUUAAUCAUCUCAGCACAAUCGAUGAUAGGACCCUAACAUAAUCCUCAAUCAUCUCAGCACAAUCAAUGAAAGAGACUUCUCCUGAUUUUAUUUCUCUUCACCUCUAAGCAGAUUAAAAGACUUACAGAAUGCUGGUGGCACCUUUAGAUGGUAUAGACUGCUUUUGGCCAAAAGAAUACUAUGGACUACUAAUACGCAUGUGCUAAGAGACAUUCAAGGACAAAUUUUUAUUCCACUCUUCAUCCACUUUCCAUCUUCCCCCAUCAAUAUGUGGAAACAAUCCACCCCCAAAACCAAAGCAUCAACGUAAAACCAUGCUCCAUCACUUUUAGGGAGCAUAACCAACAGCUUAGUAUGAGUAAUAUAUUGUCCAAAAGCAUCCAAAAAAAUGUACAGACACGGACGUGAAUCCUUUUGUGCCUAAAUUAGAUAAUAGUAAUGUAUACAUUGGCAAAUAAUAGAAAGGGGAAUAAUACAGCUUUAGACCAACCUUUUUGAGGUGAGGGCUUGUCCGAUGAUCACAGUCGGGAGGAAUUUCAACUAUUUUGUUAUAUAUAUCUACCGGCAAUGUGGCUGUCCCAAACAGAUACUGGGUGGCUACAGGUGAAGAAUUGAUUAUGCUUUGAAACGCUGCUUCGAACUCCUCAUCAUUGCAGAGAAUAUCCACCUCAUCCAAAAUCACGCUGCAGCGUGAAGCCAUAGAUUAUACCAGCAGUUGCAAAACAAUCUGCAAUAUGCAUAAAGAUACCAUUUUUCUGUUAUUGAGUACAUUAUAGCUACAUAGAGCUCUUUGUUUGUAGCAUAGCAUGGACUGAAAUCUGCUGAAUGCCAAAAUCAUCCAGGCUUUGGUGUCAUUCAAAUUCUUAGCAGGCAAAUCCAUUAACAAAAGAUUUUUUAACUUCAUAUCCUAUAUCAAACAAUAUGACGAGUGGAGCCUUCUCAAUUUGUCACCACUCAUUUCUCAAAGAUUUCUAUUGGGGCUAACGAAUAGCAAUAUAUCUAACAUUUUUGUAAAUCAAAGAAAAGUUCUCCAUAACUCAAGCCAGAAAAUCAAGAUCCAGCUGUGUAUGUAAGAAUAGAAAUUUCGCUAAUCUUUUCCUUUCCUCAAAGAUUCAAAGAAUGGCGAUGAUAAAUGGUGGAAAUACUAAAUCUAGAAAACAUUAGCACAAUCACAUUCUUUACUCAAAACAAAUGAGAAGAUGAUGAUUUUGAAUAGCUCGUGCACCCAAACUUAUUCAUGCAACAUUAUACAAUGCAUAGGCUUACCAUCUAAGAUCCUUUAACUCCGAAAAGCCUUCUUUAACAAGAAAAUAAAGCGACCAGGAGUGGCUAUUAGGACAUCAACACCCUCAUCUAUACUUUCCAGCCGAGUUUUCUGCCUGAAACCACCUAUGGCAACCAUAGACCGAAUGGAGCCCCAAGCUUUGAUAUGGAUUGGCAGUUACUCAAAACCUGCACAAAACUCACUAUAGAUUUUAAGUAUCGCUCAUGGGGGCGCAAAAAAUUAUGUUAUGUUUGUCACCCACUACUAGCAAAAACAAGCAUUGCUGUACAUUAAACCAACUAUAGAGUAUCUCCAAAUUCAGAACACCUCCAUUUUCAACAGCUCUAAGGAGAUUACCAGUUUUGCCUCAUGAGUAAAUUAUGCACAUCAUUAAGCAACUUUACCAAUUGUAUAUAUGCCUUUCCAGGAACCCAAUACGAUCUUUCAGAUUGCAACACUUGGGAAUCUCUUUUUCUUUUUUUCUUUUUUUGCCUUUUUUGAAAGAAGAGAUGACAAUUUGAGUAUUAUACUCGACAAGUUGUUAAAAACAGGUUGACUGCAACCGAAAAUGAGUUGGAGCACUUUUUUACCACAAAUUUGCUUCUUAAGCAAUAGCCUAUCACAAUAUAGGAUGAGAGCUUAAAUUGGCCAUAAACUAGUAAAAGUUGAUGAGUUGCUUGCCAAAGCACAUAAGGGCAAAGGAAAAGGCACAAGAAAGGACACCAACUACCAACCUGUGAAGCUAACUCAGCAGUAGGCACCAGAAUGACAGCUCGAGGGCUUUGUGAGAACGAUUUGCUAAGUCCUUGCAGCUCUUCCUCCCUAAGUUUUUGGCCUACUGGUGCAAGAUAAGCUAGCGCUUUUCCCGAACCACUCUGAUUAGCUCUAAUACACGUCUUUCCCUCAAUUAAAGGUUUGAAUGCCAUCGCCUGCAGUCAUCCAGAGUUAGCAGCAAUCUGAGUUGCAGUACACUAGGAGAAGACCUUCCUUUUGUCAAGGUGUAGAUAGAACAUCUUGAUGUAAAGGCAUCCACGGAAACCCCCCUGCCCCAUCCUUUGAAAUCUGCCUUAGAACUGCCAAGAGAUGGCUCUGUUCCAACUAUUCUGGUGGCAGAUAUGCCUUGUUUAUCAGUUUCCAUUAGGUGCGCUGAAUGAUCCAUUUCUUCCGUGUCGGUCCUUGCUGCAGCGUCUUUGGCAGCUUUGGAUUGGCAAGCACCUGAUACCUUUCCUCCAAGUAUAAGGAUAGCCGCUUCCUUAUUUUUUCCCAUUCGAUCCAAUUUAGGAAAAGAGAGAUUUUCUGCUACUGGUUCAUAAUCUCUAUCACUUGCUUUAGCUUGGACAAUUUUUCCGCAAGAGCUUUGACUCUCUGCAUCAGUCAUUCCAACUUGCACAUUCACAUCAAACAUGUCUACAGUCGAAUGCAAACUACACAACUAACAGCUUGAUUACCGAGAUAAAUCCAACCCUACCGUCUCAUUGUCGAUCAGCCGGUAGGCCCCCGCCGAAGUCUCCAAGGGCGUCCCUGCGUGGCCCCCCGACCGGACAGGUGGAAGGAGAAAGAGUGGGGGGUGCGACUGAGCCGGAGCUGGAGCUGGAGCUGGAGGCGAAGGGGUGGGGAAUGAAGGCUUGAUUGGGAGGCGAAGGAGCUUUCGGUAGCCAUCAUUAUACUUUUUUUAUGCCCUAGAAGCUUCAGCUUUUACCCGAUGAUCUAAAAUUUUUGGGUCUAAAAUACGAACCCCGUCCCUCUUCAAAAAGAGCCAAGGCUCAGAUAUCAAAAAUACCAUAAUCUCUUCCACGUAGAAUAUUCAGAGUCCGAAUCCCUUUUUUUCAAGUAAUUGACUUAAUUGGAUCAUCACCCAAUGCAACUUGCGGGAUUUCGCGGAUAAGGGGCCAAUAGCAGCCAGUCCCUUUCCUGCAUCGCUCCUCCAGAAUCCCACAUCCUUUGAUCCAGAGAAAUUCUAGGGAGGGAGGGAGGCCAUCCUGGGGCAACUCCCUCAGCUUCGGGCAAUUCCAAAUUCAUAAGGUUCAGAGAGAGGGAGGGAGACUGCUGGACAGUCUUUCCACUUUCCCCAUAUCAUAGAUAUAGAGACGGAGCAGAGAGGGAGGGAGUGGAAGCAGAAGGUCCUCCUCCUCUCCCACUCCUCCCGCGCUGCCGUCGAUGCACAGGGAGGUGAGAGGGGUAAGCCACUCCCUCACCAGCUGCUUCAUAUUCUUGCAUCGAAUCACCCUAAGUCGCUGUAGCUGGGGCGGCAAUCCUCCAUCGGGGAAGCGCGUUAUACUCUCACAAUCCCUAAUUUGUAGAUCUUCAAGACUCAUGAGUCGAUGCAACUGAUUGGGUAACGAUUUAAUCUUUGGACAAUCCUCAAGCCAAAACGUCUUUAUGCUGGGUGGAAGAGGAGGGAAGCACUCCAGCUCCAGUACUGAACACCCUCGCAAACACAAGGAAGUGAGGUGAGAUAACGUGUGUAGACCCUGUGGUAAGCUUCUCAAAUUCUCGCAAUCCGUAAUUUCAAUCUCUUUAAGCGACUGAAGACGGUCUACAGGUAUCUCUGCGAGCGACUCCACUCCCCUACACCACGAAAUUUCAAGUGCCUUGAGGGUCGCCUGUAAAACACUACUCUCGCUAAAUAGAGAGGCUGGUAGAGAAUCGCAUUGUGGAUUUUUAAUUCUUGCAAACAAGAUGUCAUGUCACUGUGAUUAUUGCUGUUGCUACUUGGUCCAUUCAUAUCAAGACUUAAUCCUUUAGGUAAAGAUUGCAACAUCUCACAAUCUCGGAUAUUUAAUAAUAUCAAUAACACCAACAUACCCAUUUUGGGAAGCAACACGAGUUUUGAACACUCCUCGACGGUCAAGUCUUGAAGAGAGGAAAGGGUGUAAAUGUUGCUUGGGUGCUUAUCUAAAUUGAUGCAAUUCUGUGAGUCCAUAGUCUCUAGCUUGCUAUGCAAAUCUAUAUCUCCUUCUCCAACUUUUUGUUGGAGAAAUCUUCUUGAAGUGUUUUGAAACUGACAAAACGUUUCCAUCAGUCUAGUCUGAAGGCUUGCAGACUCUGUUGUUUAAAGUCUGAAGACCUCCGGGCAGUCAGACUCAAGACUCAAAGUCUAUCCUCAUUGACAGUCUCUAAUCCGUUGAAGAAAGGUUAUCCAGAACUGGAUGUUUCGUCAAUGAUUUAACCUUAUCAACUGGAGAAGAUCUCGUGGCUGGAAAAGACGUAAUGGAAUCCUUUGAUUGAUCGAGAUUGAUUCGAUGAUUGAAGAUUCGAUGAUUGCCUAAAUAUUCUUGGAAGGUUCUACUUAUGGAAACCGAGAUCCUGAUUGUAUGGGCGAACAGGAUUGAUGGGCUAUCGACACGUUCCUUUAAUAGCUCGAACAAUCUUCCUAAUUGAUUCCGUCCAACGAGUAGAUUGGAGGAAUUCAUUUGGUAAGUGCCAACGGGUAUGAUGGCAUAAAGGAGUAUAUAAGGAAGACGGUCUUAGUUGUUCGAGGUGUGCGCGAUAGAAGAAUUCCAAAGUCUGAAGCUCCUUUUUGUUUAGACAAUCACUUUGAGCGAAUACUUGUAUACAAAAGAGAGUCUAUACUUUGUGAGAAACCUUGAGGAGGUGUGGUAGAACAUCUACACUGUGGAAUCAAGGCAAAGCUGUGCUGUAACUUCUCUUUUGAUCAUAGUGAAAUCCAGCCGGUGGGCUGUCAGUGCGGAAGAGUGGACGUAGGCUUGGAAUAAGCCGAACCACUAUAAACCCUGUGUUCAAUUUUCUCUUCCUUACUCUCUUUACUUUGAUCGUACUUCAUUUUCGUUAAUUAUAGUAAACUUCCUUUCUAUUAUUUGCCAAGAAUCGCUUCCGUAUCUCAAUAAAUUGUUUGUGCACCUAUUCACCCCCCUCUCGGUGCUUAUACUAGCUAUCUCACUUUUGACAUCUAAGCUCUUCAGACAAGCGAGAUUCCGAAUUACAUCUCUCUCUUGCCACAAGUACAUCAAAUUUUUACAACUUUUCAUCUCCAAAUUCUCCAGCUUGACCAAGGAGCUUAUAAACCCAUAAUUUAAGUAAGUUAAUUCGACAACAUCUUGUAUGACAAGAGCAAUUAGAGAUGUCAAGUUUACCAAACUCUUCAGCACGCCCUCGUUACAACCUCUAAAGUUUAAUUCUUGAGGGAUGGAAGGCUAACGAUAGAGGACGAGGCACCCAUACGCGGACAAGAGUUGAUUUCUAGCUUUUUGAGGGAGCUCAGUUGACUAGGUAAUCUUCCAAUCAACAUAGGACAAUCUCGAAUGACCAUAUGCUUAAGACAAGUGAAUAAAACUCUUACUUCUUCAUUGUUGAAGCAAUGAGACCAGUCCUCCCACGAUGGCAUAUUCUUGAAUUCCAAAGUCAUUAAGGAUGGAAAAGGACUUUUAGUUCCAUAAAAUUCAGACCCUACUAUACGUAUUGUAUAUAGACUUUCGAUGUAAAAUUCUUUCAAAGAAGAUAGUUGUCCUAGCGAGGCUAGAGCUUUGGCCCUACAACACGCAUGUAAACGUAAAUGCACCAUGUUAACAUAUGAGAGAAUUCCUAACCAUGACGGGAAUUCUAAGCCACCAUAGUAAGAUAUUGUGAGAUUUUCAAGUUUUGGGUGAGGGCGAAGAAAGUUGAGGACUUCUGCUUCAAGCUCUUCAUUCCGGAAAUUUCCAAAAUAUUUGCACCAUUGCAUGGUCAACCGGCAUAUUCCCUCCUUCAUGCAUAAAUUGGCAUCUGUGGCAUCUCAAACCUUAUGUAAAUCAGAGAUGCACAAUUCCCCUCUAAGGUUCUCUAGGUUUUUUAACUCCUUCAACCUUGACCCUGCUUUUGUUCCCACUACAAAUUUGGACAGCAUCUCAAGACCCAUCAAAUUACCUAUAUACAGUGGCAUUGCUCUUAGGCUCGGAGUGUUAGUAAAGUCAAGAAAUUUGAGAUUGAUCAUUUUAUUUGGCAAGGUUUUGACAUCCUUGCAACAUCAAGCCCUCUAGGUAGUACAAUGCAACAAUUGACUUUGGAAGCGUUUCAAUAUCAGUAUAUGACAAAUUGAGGCACCUCAAGUGCCUCAGUUUGCCAAUGCAAUCUGGUACCUCUCUGAUGUAAUAGUGACAUAAUGAAAGCACCCUCAAGUACUUCAAUUCCGAUAACAAGUCGCCUAAUACUUUCUUGGACAAAUAAGACUUAUAUAAAUUCCAACGAUCCUUCCCUAACGAUAUGAAACUCCUAAGUCCCUUCAUUCCAUGAUAUAUCUUGAAUCUUUCUACCACAAUGUGAUCAUUGGAAAUGAAUGAGGCAUGACGAGCUAAAUAUGCAUUACUUUGAUCACCCUCAUACUCAAAAUCCCUUGAGCUAAAAUAAGUCGCAUUGGCAACUAGUUUUGCCAAGUCAUUCACAAGAUCAUGCAUCAAGAAUUGUGAUUUGCUGCUACUUGACUUUUGAAGUAACGAUCUAGAUACUAGCUCGUGGAAAAAUUUCAAACCUGCAUUCCAACAAUUAUUUCCUUCUUUUCCCUCCAACAAGCCCUCAUCAAUCCACUAGUGAAUCAACUCGUCCCGCUCAAUAAAAUAAUCCUUAGGAAAUACAGCGCAACAAGUGAAACAUCUCCUCAAAUUUGAAGGGAGAUGGAGGUAGCUAAGUUUCAAGGCUGGAAGGAUGUCAUUACUUUCUUUCGGUAAGUCCCAAAUUUUGCUAUCCAAUAUAGCUUUCCAUUCAUGGGGAUUGACUUUAAAGCUCAAUAACCCAGCCAAAGUCUUCAUGGCUAAUGGCAACCCUUUACAUUUUUCCACUAUUUUCAUACCUAACACUUCAAGAUCUGGAUGACGAUUGAAAUUUCCGACUCCAAAAGCAUGAAAUGCAAACAAAGUCAUACAAGAAUCUUGUGACAACUCUUUGAGAACAUAGGGUCGAGCACGGGCUAUUUCAGCAAUGUGAAAAUUACGAGUCGUGACAAUGACCUUGCUUCCCUUCACUCUUGAUUGAAAAGGCUUCAAGAGGAUAGUCCAUUUUCCAUAAUUCUCAUUCCAAGCAUCAUCUAGAACAACAAGAAACUUCUUCCCCGCAAGUUGUUCCUUGAGCUUACCAUGAAGCCAAUUUAGGUCCUUUCCUUCACAAGGCAAACGGUCAUUCACUGUCUCAAGGAUCUUCUUUGUAAUAGCAAGCACGUCAAAAUCAUCGGAGACGCAAGCCCAUGCUUUCGAAUCAAAAUAGUUGGUAACUCUAGCAUCAUUGUAGACUUGCUGAGCCAAAGCCGUCUUCUCAAUACCCCCCAUUCCUAUGAUGGGAAUCACUUUUAGAUCCGCACAUGUCCUAUCAUCAUCUUCUUCUACGGUUAGCAAUUCGAGGAUCUUCAUUUUUUCAACCUCCCUGCUAACAAAAUAAGGCUCGGGCAAACUUGUAGUGUGAAGUGCCUUAUCCACUUGUUGGUAUGCUGCUCGGUCCCCAUUGUUCUCUCUCAAGCUCAGAGUAUCUUUCUGAGUGAUGAUAUCCUUUAAUCUUCCAUCCAUCUCUUCUAUCUUGGAUCUCAUUUUAUGGCCGAACAUAAGUGCACUCGGGCUCAAUCUGAAGCAACAGCUCGGAAGAAAGGAACUUGCCUUGCUAGUGCCGGGUUCUGCCCUAGACUUAUUUUCCACGGACUCUAAGGCGAACUUGUCAAGCAAGUCUUCAAUGUCAUAGGCCAAAUUCUUGAGAUCUUUAAGCCACGGCUUCACAUCAAGAUCGUUGACGAGUUGCCUGUCCUCUGCAUCAUCCAGCACCUUGUUGAUGCUAAUUAGCAUCUUCUCCCAUUUCUUCAGCAACGUAUCUAUACCCUUGCGCCGUGCAAAGUUGAGAACCUCCCGAGAGGCCAACCUUUCGAAGAGCACCGAAAGAAGAGCGCCAACAAACAGCUCUGCAAUGGGCAUGGCUUGGUUUGUGAGUGGCAGAGGAUUAAACAAGAGUACCUGGAAGGGUCGAAACAAAGGGUAUAGAGUGGACAGGAAACAAAAGUUCUUCCGUCCAGGACAACAGGAUGAAAUGAUGGUGUGAAUCAAAAACUUUUUAAGCACUAAAGCGCUCUUUCUUUCUCGGAAGAAGCUGUCAUUGCAUUUUUUUCAUCUCGUCUUCAGUUGAUUUCAUUUCAUUUCUGUGUACUCAAUUUCUCGAAAGCAAGUUGGUCCGACGUGGGACCAAGUCUUGGUAUCAUUAAAGCCUCCAAAGGCUCAAAACGUAACAGAAGUGGGCCUGUCUCCAGCCCAACCCCGAAACCUUUCUGCUCCAUUAUUGUUCGUCAGUUUCCUCUCACCACUCACAUCACACAAAGUCCCAAAUGCACCCAUUCACCAUCAUCAUGUAUCACAUAGAUCGUGACAUCAUAAUUUCAUCGAUGCAACCUGAUGAACCCCAUCACGUUAUCAAAAAGGACAAGUCAUCACAUAUUUUUACUUUAUGUAGGCCGAAUACCGUCGUAACCAUUGAUCAUACGCAUCUCAACAAUAUUUCAUGUCAUAUGAGAGUUUUAUGAAUUGAAAACUCCAAAAAUUGCCGUUGAUUACUCGACAAUCAUCAAGAAAUACUUGAUAAAAAAAAAUCACGCUUUAAUAAUGACUAGAAAGAAAAAAAAAAAACUGUUACUUUUAUUCAUUACUAUAAUUAUUACCAAGAUUUGCUGAAAGAUACAUUAUGCAUAAGAUUAGGGGAAAAAUUGAGCGGCCCUACAUCAAAUUUAAUUGUGGAACUUCAAAAUUCAUUUUCUUUUUACCUUUUAGCCAAGUAACAAUGAUUAGAUUCUUAAUUAAACUUCCUCAUUUUAUUCAGUCCGCCAGAUCAAAUAAAAUAUACUUAUUAUUUUGUCCCAUGAGCUCCCUAACUUCAAUAUGUCCACAAGGUAGAUUUUGAUAUCGAGCUAUUCAUAGCCUAUUAUUAUAGUAUGUGAAAAUGGAUUCACUAGCGCUUGAUAAAUAGCUAGAUCCCUAGAUUACAACUUUUGAUUCCUUGGCUUCCGCGCUUAUCCUGUCAUAAUCACCCUUUUUUCAAUGCUAUGCGCAUGGGCCUACAUCUAGGAAUGGUGGAGGGGGGUAGAGAGAGAAUGAUGUUUGAUUCCUUCUUCCUCUCCUUCGCACGGACUUCUUGUCGUCUCUGGCCCCAUUAGGGGUGAGCAUGGUCUGGGUUGGGCCGAUCCGUCCCCUAAUCCUAAGACCAAUUUGCACAGUACCGAUCUUCAAUUUUUGGGACCGAGGACUAAUCCUAUUGAGCUCGGGACCGAUGACCAAACUUACCCAAUGGGUUCGGUCCGAUUUCAGGGUCAACUCGAGACCAAGUAAUAAUUUUUUAUAUUUUUUGUACUCCUUAAAAAAGCAAUUGAUGAUCGAACUAACCCAAUGAGUUUGGUCCGAUUUUAGGGUCAACCCAGGACUAACCAAUAAUUUUUUAUUUCACUUUUUGUACUCCUUAAAAAAACGAUUGAGGAUCGAACUGACCUAAUGAGUUCGGUCUGGUUUCAGAGUCAACUCAGAACUAACUAAUAAUUUUUCAUUUCAUUUUUUGUACUCCUUGAAAAAACGAUUGAGAACCAAACUGACUCAAUGAGUUUGGUUCGGUUUCAGGGUCAAUCCAAGAUCAACCAAUAAUUUUUUAUUUUAUUUUUUGUACUCCUUUAAAGGGUAACCGAGGAUUGCACCAACCCAAUGGGUUCGAUGAUGAGCAAGGUUAGCUAAUAAAGGCAAGCGAUAAGGGUCAAAUUGGGUGAAUGUCGAAUAGAAUGAGCAUCGAAUGUCGAACGGGAAGCAACAAGCCAAGCGAGCAUUGAACGGUGAGUGGCAUGAGUCACCCAAAGCAAGCAAGGCGAGUGUCGAUUGACGAGCGGAGAAGUUGUUUCUUUUGAUUUUGACAAACAGAAGACUAAGAGAACAAAUAAGACAGAAGAGAACGAAUACUAAAGGAUGAUGCCAUAAGGAGCUGUUUAUGCCUUUUUUGACGCCAUGAGGAUUUCUCACGAAAAAAUUUUCUUCAUUUGUAAAUUAUGACUAUUAACGCCAUAAAAGACAUUAAAAAUUUAAGUUAUUAAAUAACAACGUAAAAUUACUUGAACUCCUCAUUAAAGAGCUGUUUAAUGUUGUUGAUGCCAUUUAUUUUAAGGUUUUUUCUAUAUAAAAAAAUUAUAAGUAUUAUUAUAUAUACAGGAUUGGUCCUGGUUGAACCGACUCGGAACUCUCAGGACCAAAGACCAACCCGUAUAGUACUAGUCCAGGAAUUCUAGGAUCAAGGACCGACCUAGUCUCCCUGGAAAUCGGACUAGGACCGGCACGGUUGGGCCGGUCCAGGGUCGGUCCAGGGUUGAUCCUGGACCGAUGCUCACCCCCAGGCCCCAUUCCUUGAAUGAGCUAAAUACAAGACGUCAAGAGAUAAUUGUUUAUGGAGAAAUUACAAGGUUCCUAGGGAGAUGCAGUCCUAUUCUAAAUAAUGUGUAUGCUCUUUAAGGUGAAAUGCACCAUCCUACAAUUACCCGUACAAUUAAAAUGUCCAUUUAUUGAAUAAGUCCCUAUUUUUUAAUGCAUAACCACUAUUCUAUCUCGUGAUUUAAUUUUUCGCAAGUAUUUAUACUGGCCGAUGCUAAUAAGUUUUUGACCUAUACUUUUACAAUACGACCAUUCUCCUCUUAUUUUUAGAAUGAUGUCACUAAAAUCUUUUGGAAUCAGAAUUAAUAGGUUGGACAAAUAACAUUAUGGCAUUAAUCGAUGGAAAAAAUUCGAUGUUAUGAUGGAAUUCGAUACCUAAACAAAUGAAAGUAUUGAUUGUGCACAUUAUGAUGGCAAUCAUUGUAUCAUAAUGUGCCCCUAUGGCACUUUUUAACAAACUCCUUUUUUUGUGAAUUGAAUAACUUGAAGGAAUGUUUUAAAGUGUACUGUCACCAGUUAAGUAGGCCUAACUACAAUUUAUCGUGUUGGUGUAAGCGUAGUUUACCACAUUGGUGAUAACUGGUAUGCUCCUUUUUAAUUCUUAAUUUUGCACAUUGCAAUCCAUUGUAUAUACCACUUUUAAGAUAAUUAUGGAAAAAUAACAUUUACAGGUAGAUCGGGGUUAAGAAGUUGAAAUUUGUUCAGUUGAGCUCAUGAAGGCAUUGCUUAUUUAGAGAGAUUUCAGAUACAAAAAUCACUUGUCUAUUGACACGGCUUAUAGAAGUUUAUCUUUUCACUUGCCUUGAUGAUUCUAAUAUUUUAAGGUAUUCUUUUUCAUGCUUGAGUGCUAUGUUUUUCUCAUUUUUGCGGCAUCAUGAGACGGUGGAAUUGAUUGUUUGUGACAGGUGUGCUAUACAAGGAAGCAGCAGGGCCAAGAUUGGCAGCAUCUUCUUAUGUUAACUUUUUUUUAAUAUGAUUUCAAACGAAUGUAAACUCACUCGAACACAAGUUGAAAAUAAGAGCAAAUCCUUUCGAAGGGAUCCACAAUUUAAGCAAACUUAGCUAAACUAUGAACUGGCUGCAUUAUCUUCCUUUCAAUAUUUACAUCUAUACAACAGGACACCGAUACCCUAUUCCAUUGGGGAGAAGCUCGAAGCACCGCUAAACAUGCGAGUCGAAAGACUUUUGCGUCGGUCCAUCCAUCCUCCCUCCUCCUCUUCUUCUUCAGUAUCUUUUGUUCUUUUUCAUCACUCUCUGUCCCUUUGUCUUUUCGUUUGUGGAUCCUCUUGUCGUUUUCUCACUCUUUCUUUCUUUCUCGGAAGAUGCUGCCAUUGCAUUUCAUCUCAACUCAUUUGAUUUCUAAAUUCAUUUCUGUUGCCUCAAUUAAGGCUAGUUGGUCGGACGUGGGGACCAAGUCCUGGCCAUCAUUAAAGCCACCAAAGAAGGUUCGGAAGGGUAAAAGGUGGGCCCGAAACUUCAGCUUUAUUAUCGUUCGUCAGUUCUGUCUCACCAUUCACAUCACACAAAUUCCCUAAUGCACCCACCCACCAUUGUCAUGCAUCACAUAGAUCAUAGGGCAUAAUGGUUUCAUUGAUGCAGCCUCGCUAACCCCAUCUCAUUAUCAAGUAAAGAAGCAGCUGUUACCUAAACUUAAUUUAUGUAAAUCAGAUCAUCAUUAACCAUUGAUCAUAUGCGUUCGAACCAUUAUGCCACGUGACACGAAAGCCCGAUGCAUUGACAACUGCAAAAUUUUUGUAGUUGAUUCUUCAGUGAGUGUCCAAAAACACUAGACAACAAAACCAUUUUUAAUUGAUGACCAGAAAGGAAAAAAAGACUACUUUCUCUUCAAUUAUGUUGUUGUCACCUAGACAUGCCCUCUCAUGAAUACAUAAUCGGAUCAGACUGGAUGGAAAAAAACCAGGUGGCUAUAGAUCGAACUAAAUUGCAAACCUUCAAGCUUCAAUUUGUUUUUUUGCCCCUUUUUGCCAAGCAACUAUAAUUAUAUUCAUAACAAAGGUUCCUUGUUCCAUUUGGCCCAUGGGUAAAAAAAAAAUAUGCUUAUUGUUUUGUCCGAGGAAGAGAGGAACUACCUAACUUCAAUAUGCCCACCAGCCAUUCAAAUAGGUGGAAUUUGUUAUAUACUUACGCAUACCCUAUUAUUAUAUUGUGCAUAAAUGUUACAUAAGCGGUACACAAAUAACCGAAUGCCUAAUUUAUAGAUUUUGCCAUGGCAUUGCAUCAUAAUAAAUUAUCGAUGUGGGGAGCGCACUCUUAAGAUGGGGAGGUGAACUAAUUGAACUAUGUAAAAGUUUGGUUUAGACACCACUUGACUGCUAAAUACAAAAAGAAAAAAAUAUUCGUAACUAGUUCAUGGGUCUCAAGAUCAAAUAAAAUUUGAAAUUUCCAUGCCACAAAUUCAAAUAAGAUAUGAUUAUGUUUCAUUAGGAGAACAAUGAGAGUACCUAGCUACGAUCCAUCCCCCACCUAAUUUUCACUAAACAUGGAAAAAUCCGUAAAACAAUACAAUAAGUUUAAUCAAUUAUGCCCCUAUAAAAACAGGGUGUCAAAAGAUUUUUGUUUAUAGAGAAAUUACAGGUUUUUGUUGAAAUGCAUUUCUAUUCUAGAGAUGGUGCAUUCUCUUUAAGGCAAAGUGCACCCUCUUCACAAUUAGUUGAAAAGGUAAAGUGCAUGCGUUUUGCUCUUAUUCGGGUGAAGCGCACAUUCCUCUAAGGUCAAGUACAUGCUUCCUAGGUAUUUGAAACAGGACAUGUAAGGGUGCGUUUGUUUGUGUUUCUGUUUAAAAAUUGUUCCAGGGAACAGAAAUAGAAAAAAGUGUUUCUGUUCCGGGGAACAAUUUUUGAACAAAAAAACACGUUUGGUAAAUUUGUUCCGGGAAUAAAAAAUAAACAGAAACACGUUUGGUAAAUUUGUAUAAUUUUUUUAUUUCUUUUAUUUUUUAAUAUUUUUAUUCUAUUUUUUCUAUUUUUUUCUAUUUUUUCUAUUUUUUCUUUUUUCUUUUUCUUUUUUUCUUUUUUCUUCUUUUGGCCGGUCGCCGGCCUCGGCCAUGGCCGGUGACCGGCCGACGAGGGCCGGCAGCCUCGCCCAGCCACGGCGAGGCUCGCCGACCCUCGGCGAGGUCGAGCCUCGCCGUAGCUGGGCGAGGCUCAGCCUCGCCGGAUCUGGGCGAGAUCGAGCUCGCCCAGCCCGGUGCGAGGUUGGCCUCACCGAGCCACCGCCAGGUCGGCGUCGCUUGGCGGUGGCCCGGCGAGGCCGAGCCUCGCCGGCCGCUGGGCGAGCUCGGCCUCGCCGGAUCCGGGCAAGAUCGAGCUCGCCCAGCCCGGCGCGAGGUCGACCUCGCCUUGGCUAGGCGAGGCCGAGCCUCNNNNNNNNNNNNNNNNNNNNNNNNNNNNNNNNNNNNNNNNNNNNNNNNNNNNNNNNNNNNNNNNNNNNNNNNNNNNNNNNNNNNNNNNNNNNNNNNNNNNAGGCCCGCAAUGCCAGAGCUUCGUUUGUUGGCCUCCUCUUGUAGUUUUCUCGCUCUUUCUUUCUCGGAAGACGCUGCCGUCGCAUUUCAUCUCGUCUCAUUUGAUUUUUAAUUUCAUUUCUGUUGCCUCAAUUAUCACUCGUCAGAUCUCUCUCACCACUCACAUCACACAAAGUCCCACCCAUCCAUCAUCAUCAUGCAUCACAUAGAUCAUGUGGCAUCAUGAUUUCAUUGAUGCAGCCCGCGAACUCCAUCCCAUUAUCAAAUAAAGGAGCAGUUAUUACCUAAAGUUAAUGUUUGUAGACCGAAUCAUCAUUAAACAUCGAUCAUAUACGUGCCAGCCACCAUUCCAAUGUAGCACGAAAGCCCGACGAAUUGAAAGCCACCGAAUUUUCGUAGUUGAUUGCUUUGCUCAGCGAGUGUCCAAAAACGCUUGAUGGCAAAACCAUUUUUAAAUGACGACCAGAAAGGGGAAAAAACGAUUACUUUCUCUUCAAUUAUGUCAUUGUCACCUAGACAUCUCUUUGAAGAAUACAUAAUCUGAUUAGAUUAGAUGGAAAAAAACCAAGUGGCUAUAGAUCGAAUUAAAUUGGAAGCCUUCAAGCUUCAAUUUCUUUAUUUUUCCCUAUUUGCCAAGCAACAAUGAUUAUAUUCAUAGCAAAGCUUCAUUGUUUUAUUUGGUCCACGGGUCAAAAAUAAUAUGCUUAUUGUUUUGUCCCAGGAAGAGGAGAGCUACCUAACUUCAACUACCUAACUUCAAUAUGCCCACCUACUGACCAAAAUAUAUAUGCCCACCAACCAUUCAAAUAGAUGGAAUUUGAUAUAUACUUAUGCAUGCUCUAUUAUUAAAUGAGAGUGCCCAGAAGGGUCGGAAGAUAAAGCCUUUUGGUUUUUUUUUUUUUUUUUGGGGGGGGGGGGGGGCAAAAAAUGAAAGGGUGAAAUCAAAAAAUUUUAAGCUGUGAGAUGACUUCGUCUGAAGACACUAGUGGUGGUGACUAGUUAGUAAAGUAAAUAUAAAAUGCGGAAAAUCAUAGAUAUAUAUACACAUACUUUUUUAAGGGUGAUCCAUCGGUAUUACUCAAUUGUUUUUUUUUUUUGGUAAAGUUAAUAAAUAUAUAGAGCUAGGACAAAUGUACAAAAGAUCGGUCCCAAAACUUACACUCUCACGAACAAUUGUUUAUAAGUCCACUGUUCUCAUCUCGAUUGAGGUGACCGGCAACCGUCUUUUUUUUAUAUUUUGUUUUCGCCAGAUGACGACUAAUGGCAGCAUGCUACCAAAUUUUCAGCUUUCAAAGGAAUUAAUUGGUGUAUAGCUUAGUUCUCGACUAAGGUUAGAUUACCAAGCAUCAUAAGUGGGUCCGAAUUUGCCACACAUCGAUCCAUGUAUGGGUUAUUAUAUCAUCUUACAUGGUCUAUUAAGGGUCUCUUUGUUUUUACUCCAAAUAAUAUCUAAUUCUGUUAUUUUGUUUCCUGAAACAAAAACAAAAAAAAAACAUAAAUCUGUUUUAUAAAAAUUUUAUUCUCGGGAACAAAAAUUUAUUUUUUUUGUUUCCGAGAAUAGAUUUGGAAGAGAAUUAAGAAGUAUAAAAAAAAGUAACUUCUUGUUUUCGGGAACAAUAUUUAAAAUCAAUUUCUAUUUUUUUCUUUUCUUCUAUUUUCUUUUUUUAUUUUCUCUUCUUCUCUUCCUCUUUCUUCUUCUUCCCUUUGGUCGAUCGCCGACCCUAGAUGAGGGCUAGCAAUCUCACCAGAGCAUCGCUGACCCCCGGCGACGCGAGCCAUGGCGAGGCUCGGCCUCGCUCAGAUCUGACAAGCCUCUGAUGAGCUCGCUAGACCUCGCCCAGUAGGUUGCCGAUCACGGCAGUGGCCGGCCACCGACUACAAAGAAGGAGGAAGAAGAAAAAAAGAAAAUAUAUAUAUAUAUAUAUAUAUAUAACAAACGCAUUAAAAAUUUAAAAGGGACAAAAAAUUAAAAAUUUUACCAAACACAUUUCUAUAUCGAGAAUAGAAAUUUUAGACAGUUACCAGGCGCGUUCUUUUGCUUAGAAAUUGGUCCUAGCAACAGAAUCAGAAAAAAUCAUUUCUGAUUAAAAAUUAUUUAUCGAAGCAGAAUGAUUACCAAAUGCACCCUAAAUGCAUUUUAUAUUUUCUCCCAUAGCCCAAAGCGAUCUCCUCUUUCUUCCUUGGAUCUUUGUUUAAGGUUCUAAAAUAAUUGGAUUGCUGGUACUGGAUUUCGGCCGUUGAUAAUAAAAUAUUCCAACAAAAAGUUGAAGUGUUUCUUUCUUCAUUCCUCCACGCUCCCCUUCCUUCAUCCUUUUCUGCACUCAAAUCUGUUUUGCUCUUUCUUCUCCUCGGCACAACCAUUCUUCCUUCUCUCCUUCUUCAGUAUUCGUCGUUCUUUAUCAUCAUUCUCCCACGCGUCUCUUUGCUUUUUCGUUGCCCUUUCGUGGAAGAAACCGCCGUUGCAUUUUAUCUCAUAUCAUCAGAUUUAAUUUCAUUUUUUUUAUUUAAUUUCCCGAAAACCAUUUGGUCAGAAAUGGGAACCAAGUCUUGGCAUCAUUAAAGCCACUCAACGCUCAGAAGGCAAAGAAGUUGGCCCGAAUUCCAAGACUUCUUCUUUAUAAUUGUUCAUCAGCUUCUCUCACCACUUACAUCACAUGAUUCCCAAAUGCACCCAUCCACCGUAAUCAUGCAUCACAUAGAUCAUAUGGCAUCAUGAUUUUAUUGAUGCAGCCUCGUGUCGCUUUAUCAUAAAGAGGGAGUUACUACGUAAAUUUUAGUUUAUGUAGAGCAAAUACGGUCAUGACAUUGAUCAUAUGGAUCUCAACAUUAUUCAACGUAGUAUAAGAGCUCAAUGCAUUCAAAGCUCCAAACAUUAUUCAAUUGAUUACUCAACAAAUGUCCAGAAACACUUGAUAAAAAAAUCAUUUUUGACAAUGGCUAGAAAGAAAAAACUGUUGCUUUUCUUAAUUACUAUGGUUGCUACUUAGCUUCGUUCUCUGAAAAGUACAUUACACAUCAGAUUAGCAGCCAAAUACUGAGGGGCCAUAGAUCGAAUUAUAUUGCAAACUUUCAAGCACCAGUUUCUUUUUCCCUUUUAUAAUGAUUAUAUUCAUAAUGAAGUUUCCUCGUUUUAUUGAGUCCGUGGCUCAUAUUAAAAUAUGCUUACUGUUUUGCCAACCUAACUACAAUUUGUCCACGAGGUAAAUAUUUCAUCCAAAGAUGGACAAAUUGAUAAGUUUAAUUAAUUACAAGGUUUAAGCGGUGGUUCAAGAAGUGGGUUAGCCUGAGGACGCUGUUUAAGGGGGGUUAAGAAAUGGGAGCGGACCUUACGUGGAGUUGCAGAAGUUAUUCUCUAUCUACCCUCUUCACCAUGUGCGGUUGUAGGCCUCGUGUGCUAAGCAUCGAAAGAAGGGGUGGUGAUUAUGGCAGGACAUGCGCGAAAGCCAAGGAAUCAAACUUUGAUAAUUCAUGUAUUAUUUUCUUAUUUUCAUUUCUCUUUUUGAGCAAAUAAUUUAUUUAUUAAACGCCAUUCUCUCUCUACCCCCUUCACCAUUCCCAGAUGCAGGCCCCAUGUGCAAAGCAUAGAAAGAAGGGCGACUGUAUGGCAGGACAUGCGCAGAAGCCAAGGAACCCAACUUUUAUAAUUCAUAUCUUACUUCCUAUUUUCAUUGCUGUUUUGUACAAAUAACUUAUUUAAGCCACGAAAUCCAACUUUUAUAAUUUAUAUCUUACUUCCUAUUUUCAUUGCUCUUUUGUACAAAUAACUUCUUUAAGCCAAGGAAUCCAACUUUUAUAAUUUAUAUCUUACUCCCUGUUUUCAUUGCUCUUUUAUACAAAUAAUUUCUCUCUCUCUCCCUCCCUCCAUGUAUAUUACUUUUCGAUUUUCUUUGCUAAAUAAAAUUUUUGUUUAUAUGUUGUUGUUCUUUCGAUGUUUGAUCCCUUCUUCCACUCCUUCGCACGGUACUUUCUGUUGUCUGGCCUCCGUUUCUUGGUGCUGAGAGAUACUUCUUCAUAGGGAAGUUCUAAGGUUGUUUUUGAGAUGCAAUCCUACCCUGAACAAUGCGCAUGCUCUUUAGGGUGAAGUGCACUCUCCCCACAAUAAAUCGGUCACUUUUUAAAAGGAAGUGCAUGCUUCUCGUGCUAAUAUACCCUCUCAUUCAUAGGGAAAAAUUACCAAAAAAUUUUAAACUUAUUAUAAUUGUGUAAUCUCAAUCCUAAGUAUUUUAACUUGGCCAAGAAACAGGUUUACGACUAGUGCUCAAUCCAUGUUUAUCCUUCAGCGGCGGUGGAAAGAUCUGAGACUUAGACAUUGAUGGUGGUGACUAGACACACUUUUUUUAUGGAUCACAUUUGCUAUUACUUGCUAUAACUCGAUUGUUUAUGAGUCCACUAUACUUGUCUUGGCGGCGGGCUUUUUUGUUAUUUAGCCAUGGCCGGUGACGACUUGGAGCAAUCUGCUAUCAAGCUUUCAGCUUCCCAAGUAAUUGACUGUUUUUAAGUUAAGGUCUUAACUAAAAUUAAGCUACAGUGCUCCAUAGUCCAUCCCCGUCUCCUCUUUCCAUCCUCAUCAUUUGGGUCUCUAUUUACUAAAUCUCGGCCUAUGAUAAUUAAAAAUUCCAGAAAAAAAGUUGCUGUGUUUUUUUCUCCGCCGAUUGCUCUUUCACGCUCCCCUUCCUUCGUUCUUGUUUGCACUCGAAUCUCUACACCUUCUUAAUCUCUCAUCGUUGAUUUCAUUUGAUUUAAUUCAAUGGGAACAAGUUGGUCAAUAAUGGCAUCCUGGUCUUGGCAUUAUUAAAGCGGCCGAAAGGCUGGAAUCAGACAAAAGGCCGCUCUCUCAAUUUCUUUCCCACUCAUUUUUUGUACCCACCUAUCAUCAUCAUGCAUCGCAUAGACAUAUUGGCAUUAUCGUCUCAUUGACGCAGUCUCGUACAUCGGUCAUAUAAGUCCCAACCAUUAUUCCACAUCACAUGAGAACUCAAUGCAUUGGACCUGAGCAGGUCCUUAAACUGCUCCCCCUGAAAUGACCACUCCGGGGGGACUCCUCCUCACAACCCAAUUACAGGGAAAUGAGGGGUGAGUAGUAUGGGGUAACGGUCCCAUUGGCUAUCCCGGCCAAACCCGAAAGGGUUAGGGACCCACCUCGGAUCCCCGUGAAACCCUUCUCCUAGCAUACUAGGUUGGGUUCAGGGAAAUGAAGAGGCCUGGGUUGCCCCCCGCGUGAGUGGGCAACCCAGGGUGGCCGGACGCAGUCUUGUACAUCGGUCAUAUAAGUCCCAACCAUUAUUCCACAUCACAUGAGAACUCAAUGCAUUAAAAGCUGUAUAAUAUACUUGGUUAGUUGGUCACCAAGUGUCAAGAAAAAAAUUGUUACUUUCUCUUCAUUUCUGUCAUUGUUACCUAGCUUUGCUUUUUGAAAGUUAUGUUAUGCAUUAGAUUAGUGACAAAAAAUUGAGUGGUCCGGGAUUGAGAUAAAAUUAAAUUGGCCCACGGACCAAAUAAAAUAAGAAAGCUUCAUUAUGGGUAUAAUCAUUAUAAAAGGGGAAAAAUAUGCUUAUUGUUUUGUCAACCUAACUACAAUUCGUCCAACGGAUAGAUAUUUUAUCCAAAGAUGGCCAAAUUGAUAAAUUAAAUUAAUUAUAAGGUUUAAGGGGGUGGUUCAAGAAGGGAGUCAGCACGAGGAUGGGGUUCAAGGGGCGGUUCAAGAAAAGGGGGCCAGACGACAACGAGAAUUAUUGAGCAAAGAAGAGGAAGAAAAAAUCAAACGUCAUUCUCUCUCUACGCUCUUCAUUAUUGCCGGAUGGAGGCCCCAUGUGCAAAGCAUCGAAAGAAGGGUAAUCAUGGCGGGUAAUUAUGGCAGGACAUACACGUGAUUCAGGCCCCAUGUGCAAAGCAUCGAAAAGAGGGUAAUUAUGGCAGGACAUACGCGUGAGUCAAGGAAUCUCUUCAUUUUUGCCGGAUGCAGGCCCCAUGUGCAAUUAUAGUUCUUAUGUUAUUGUUGUUCUUUCCAUGCUUUGCACAUGGACCUGCACCUAGGAAUGGUGGAGAAGGUGUAGAGAGGACGUUUGAUUCCUUCUUCCUCUCCUUCGCACAGUACUUCUUGUCGUCGUCUGGCCCCAUACCUUGAACCAGCUAAGCACAGGACGUCCAGAGAUAAUUGUUUAUGAAGAAAUGACAAGGUUCCUAUCGAGAUGUAGUCCUAUUCUAAAUAAUGUGCAUGCUCUUUAGGGUGAAGUGCCCCCUUCCUCACAAUAAAUUACUCACUCUCUUACGGUGAUUUGCACGAUCUUGUUCACAUCAAGUGCAUAAUCCUUAAAGGCCAAACUGCAUCUCCUUUUUAGAGUUGAGUGAACACUUAUUAUAAUCAAGAAUGAACUCCUUCUAGCAUCUAAAUUAGAAAUGUGCCUCUUUUGAUGAGGAGCAUGCCCCUUAAGUGAGUUGAUAGUGACGAGACACUCAUAAUGUUCCUAUUGUUCUACCAAUUUAAUUUCGAAAUUGUCUAGAAAGUUAGUGUUCGCUUUCUAUUGUUAUAGGAACUUGUUAAUCUAAACUAGAUCUUGUCCAAUACAAUUAUUUGUGAAAUAGAGAUGAGCUUUUUCUAUUAUUUUAACCAUUGUUCAAAUUUCAGUGUAAGUUCCCACCUAAAAAAUCCCAAGCUAGAACAAUUGACCCUUUUGUGCCUUGACUCAAAAUUGAAGCAAUGGUCAUCUAUCUAGUGGUCGCAACUUUAGCCUUUGAUGCUCUGUGCAGCCCUUGAUCUAUACUCUGCUUUAACUCUAGGGAAGGCCAUGAUUAAGAGUAAUCCCAUCCUCUUGUUUCCAACAAAUGGUCUCUUCUUGUACGGCUCUUUAGAUGAUAAAUGAAUGAUAAUGCUCUCCAGCAAAAUAUUAAAAAGUAUAGUUUGAUUGAUUGAUUAAAUUGGAAUACUAUGCAUGUGUCAAACUUUUCUUAAUAUGCCACAUAACAUUCAUUUGUUUGAAGGUCCAUUUGUAAUAUGUUAUAUCACUCGGUGUAUCAAUCUAAUUGACUGCUCCAAAAAUCAUCUAGCUUUAUCAUCUCUACAAAUGGAGAGCCCUACCUAUUAUCAGUGAUAAAAGUUCGACAAAUCGGCUCAUUGUUCUCACUACUUUGAUUAUCUACUCCCCUAUUUUUUCCAUAGCUUAAGUAGUUUAGACUCAAGCGUAUCCAUUGCAUUAACAAUAUGGUAUAGUGCAUAACAAGGUCAAUCAUCCUUCAAACACAAAAUUGAACAUGAGAAAAUAUAUAGGAUCUUCACGUUAAUCAAAUUCUUAUUUUUAAUCAAACAUAAGUUAAUUAAGACGAUCAAAUUCACUCAUAGUAGUCAAGUCGUUUACGUAGGGAGUUCGAAAAGGCUAAUUGAUAAUGAGAACAUGAUUAAAAUGCCACCAUUUUUUCAAAGUUCCAAUAUCAAAUGUUAGGAAUUUGAAGUUUUUAUCAUUUCUUGAACUUAUUGUACUUAAUAGGGUACGAUUGAUUGUGAUUCCCAGUAAGGAUCCUAAUAUUUUAUGGUGUUCAUUAUUGUGCUUGAGUGCUACGUUUUUCCCAUUGUUGCAGCAUUAUGAGAUGGUGGAAUUGAUUGUCUAUGACAGGUGUGCUAUAUGAGGAAGCAGCAGGGCCAAGACUAGCAGUAUCAUCUUAUGUUAGCUUUCUUUAAUGUGAUUUCAAACGAAUGUAAACCCACUCGAACACAAGUUGAAAACAUGAGCAAAUCUUUUUCAAAGGGAUUCACAUUUAAAGCAAAUUUAGCUAAACUAUGAACUGGCUACAUUACCUUCCUUCUGUUUUUUACACCUAUACAGCAGAACAGUGAUACCCUACCCCGUCGGGGAGAAGCUCUAAGCACCACUAAACACGCGUCGAAAGACUUUUGCAUCGGCCCAACCAUCUUCCCUCCUCCUCUUCUUCCUCUUCAGUAUCUGUUGUUCUUUUUCAUCACUCUCUGUCUCUGCCUUUUCGUUUGUUGGCUUUCUCCUAUCGUUUUCUUGGUCUUUCUUUCUCAGAAGACGCUACCGUUGCAUUUCAUCUCGUCUCAUUUGAUAUUUAAUUUCAUUUCAGAUGCCUCAAUUUCUCGGAAGCAAGUUGGUCAGACGUGGAACCACCAAGUCUUGGCCAUCAUUAAAGCCACCAAAGAAGGCUCGGAAGGUAAAGAAGUGGGACCGAAACUUCUGCUUUAUCAUCGUUCGUCAAUUCUCUCUCACCACUCGCAUCACACAAAGUCCCAAAUGCACCCAUCCACCAUCGUCAUGCAUCACACAGUUUCAUUGAUGCAGCCUCCCGAACCCCAUCCCGUUAUCAAAUAAAUGAGUAAUUACUACCUAAACUUAAUGUAUGUAAACUGGAUCAUCAUUAAUCAUCAAUCAUAUGCAUCCCAGCCACUAUUCCACGUAACACGAAAGCCCAAUACAUUGAAAUCUCUCAAAUUUUCGUAGUUGACUGCUGAACAAGUGUCUAAAAACACUUGACAGCAAAACCAUUUUUAAACGGUGGCCAGAAAGAAGAAAAAAGGUUAUAUUCUCUUAAAUUCUGUAGUUGUCACCUAGAUAUGCUCUCUCGGGAAUACACAAUCGGACUAGAUUGGAUGGAAAAUAAACCAGGUGGCUAUAGAUCGAACUAAAUUGCAAACCUUAAAGCUUCAAUUUGUUUUUUUUUCCCCUUUUUGCCAAGCAACAAUGAUUAUAUUCAUAACAAAGGUUCCUUGUUUUAUUUGGUCCAUGGGUCAAAUAUAUAUAUAUAUAUAUAUAUAUAUAUAUAUAUAUAUAUAUAUAUAUAUAUGCUUAUUGUUUUGUCUCAAGAAGAGGAGCUACCUAGCUUCAAUAUGCUUGCCAGCCAUUCAAAUAGGUGGAAUUUGAUAUAUACUUAGUUCCUGCCCUAUUAUUAUUAGUGUGCAUAAAUGUUACAUUAGUAGUACAAAAAUAACCGGAUCCCUAAAUUCCAAAUUUUACUAUGGCAUCACAUCAUAACAAAUGAUCAAUGAUGGCUUGGGAAGGUGGACUAAUUGAAGCGUGUGAAAGUUGGUUUAGGGCACGUUUAGUAACGAUUCUGUUCCCGGGAGCUGAUUCUGACUAAAAAUAAUUAUUUUUUAUUCUGUUCCGGGGAACUGAUUCUGAGUAAAAAAACGCGUUUGGUAACUGUCCAAAUUUUUUGAUUCUGGAAUAAAAUUGCGUUUGAUAUCGUGCUAAUUGAUUAUGUUCCAAAUUAAUUUCUUUUGAUUUUUAAAAAAAUUUUAAAUAAUUUUUUUUUUACUUUUUUACUUUUUUUCUUUUCUUUUUUUCCCUUUUUUCCUAUUCUUCUUCUUCUUCAUGUGGCCGGUCGCCCAACGAGGGCCGGCAACGCUCACCGGAGGGUUGCCGGCCCUCGGCAAGGUCGGCCUUUGUCGACCGAGCCUCGCUGGUAGCUGGGCGAGCCUCGCCGGUGGCCAAGCGAGCCUCGCCGGCAGCUGGGCGAGGCUCACCCAGCCACCAGCAAGGCCGAGGGCUGGGCUUGCCUCCGGCAACCAACGGCAGACGGCGGCGUCGGGCAAUGGCGGGCGGCAGCGGAUGGUGGCGGGCGGUGGCGAACGGCAAUCGCGAGAUGACGGAACAGAAGAAUGAGAGUUUCACUAUUUUAAUUCUUUUUUUGAUUCUCAAACGAAGAAUCAUAUUUUUUAUUUUUUAUUCUCAAUUCUCUUCCCAAUCUGUUUCCGGAAACAAAAAUUUUACCUAACGCGAUUCUCGUCCCAAACUAGCUGUUGACACCUAAAUUUUGGUGACUCGGUCAUUUACUUAUUACAUAAGAAUCACGGAUUAAUUUUUUUUAAUUUAAAUUUGCAUAACAUAUAGUUUUAGGAGCAUCUCUUUUAUUACAUUUGGAAUUGAUUGGCCACAGGGGAUUGAAAGUCACGAGGGAGCUUCUAAUAGUAGGCCCAUGAUCUUUGCAUGAUCAAGAACAAAGGUGGCUGGGCACCGUUCCACUACGCGGCCAUCAAGUGUAGGAUCAAGGGGAGAACGAUCAGUCCGAGGCGUUCAAGAAGUUGCUGAAGAUGGAGAGACGCAGAUGACCUUGUACGAUGACGAUGGGAACACAAUCUCACAGCUGGCCGCGGCUUCGAAACAUCUCCAGUCCACUAGACGGCAAAACCGGGUCAAUCUCAUUGAAAGGUUAUGAUGAUCGCACCCUUUUAAUGCUAGAAUUUUAAUUCUGUUAAGAGAAAGUUUUGACCCAUUGCCCCGUGCAAAAAUUCUUUCAAUCUUGUGUGGGCACGCAACUUUCAGUAAUUAAGGAAACGAAGGAUGCGGUGGAGACGUCUUUGAGGAAACGAAAGCUGGUAGAGAAUAGGAAAGAAAAGGGAUACGGGCGAGAAAGUUGAAAGAAUCAAUAUAGUGGUCUUUAUGCUACAUUAUUUCUUGUUUUAAAACAAGAAAGAAUGCACCAUCAAAGAAAUCGCACGCACCCAUGAGGAAAACGAAUUCUCUGCAUCAACUCAAGAACAAAGAAAGAAAUAACGUCGGAUAUACCCAUGGAUCUAUUCACGGCAAGAAAGGGGAGAAAUCGACAAAACUUGCAAGCUGAUAUUCAAUUUGAAGAAAUAAAAUCAAAAAGGGAAUAUUCAGCACGUAUUCAAUCGACUUGGAGCUGCCAUAUUAUAAAUAGAGCAGUAAAUUGAGAGAGAUGGGGAACUUUCGAAUUUCAAAGACACACGAGAGAGAGAGUAGAGCAUACGCGAGGAAUCUUGACCAGUUCUUGGCUGAGACGCUCCUUCCAUGCAUCCGCCCCUUCCACGGCCAGACUUGGGGUCGUAUUUCUGUCUCCAUCACCGCCACAUCGUGCUGCUGCCCUGGUGAGGUGUCGACGACGGCCAAGCUGCUCCCUGCAUACGUGCCACCCGAGAAGUCAACCGAGUCCGGGCUAUUGCACCCAACCGCGUUUCUGCUUUGGUUCGUUGUUGCUACGCACUGGCGCCAUUGCUCCCUGGCUCGCUGGCGUUGAUCCUCCAAUGAUGAACGCUGCCUGAUGCUACCCCUCUGCGAAGGGAUCGCUGCCUCAUCGAGUCGGCAAUCUUAUUGUGUUUUUAUUUUGCAGCAAUUCUCCCUUUUGCCGUUCUAGUUUUCUUGUGGCUGCCCCCCCUGCUGUGCUGGUCAUCCUCGUUGACUUUGCCAAGCCGAAUUAGCGAAGCAUCAGCCACCACUUACUGAGCGAGACACCAUCCUUGAGCAGCACGUCAUCUUGAGCCGCCGCCCGUGAGUCAUCCCGUCGUCCUUGUGCUAUCACGUUGAGCCUCUACCGUGAUCCACGAGUCGCUGUUCGAAGGCCACAUUUGGAAGCAAAUAUUUGGGAUAGGUAAGAAUUUUGUCUAUGUUAAUUCCUGAAAAUUUUGUUUCCUUAUUUGAUAUACUCAUUGGUGCACGUGAUGGAAAUUCCCAAUAUGCCAUGAUAUUCGCAACACGAUUAGCCUUUUAAAUUGGGAAAUCUUCCUAAUUUCACAACGUACAUAUGAUUGACGGUCCGAUUUCACGCUCGAAAUACGACCCGCAAUCGUACGGAAAAAUCACCAAUCCGAUCUCACGCUCGAGAUAUGAUUUGUGAUUUUAUUUAAAAUUUGGCCAAUCCGAUCUCAUGCGCGAGAUAUGAUUCGUCAAUUUAGUUCCCAAAAUUAAAUGGACGUGGAUGAUGUCUUGCUUGAUUUGGUGCCGUGUUGUUCUUGAUGCUUUAUUUGUUUGCUCCCGUAAAAGAAAAAAUAUUUGAGUUAGAUUAGAUGCAUGUUAGGAUGUUACUUGUUUUAGAUUAUUUUGCAUGUCUAGAAUAGGAAAUUUAUUUAUUUCGAAUUUUUGAAAAAAUGAAAAAAUACAAAAAAUUAGGAUGUUAGAUUUCUGCUUCACUAGUCUAAAUUGCAUGUUUAAUUAUUUGGCAAUUGUUAAUUUCGAAAUUUAAAAAAAAAAAAAAGAGAAAAAGGAAAAACACAAAAAAGGUCAUGUGCAUGUCAUGUAGAAUUAGUUUCAUACAAUGCACGUCAUUUAGUGAUUUUUGUUAGAUGCAUUUAAUUAGAAAUUGCCCGUCAUUAGAAUUAGGUCAUUAGAUUAAUUUAGAUUGCAUAUUUAAGUGUUGCAUUUCUUUAAUUUUGAAUCUCAUAGAAAAUACAUAAAAGUUAUUUAGAAUAAAUCAUCUCAUGCUUAGGAUAGACUACAUGCUUAGUUAUGUCAUAUUGCUUAGGUCAUAUAGCUAAGUCAUAUUGCCAUGUCAUAUCAUCUUAGAUUAGUAGCAUGCAUUGCAUGAUUAUCAUUAAAUAAGUGAAAACAAAAAGAGAAAUUGCGUGUUAAUUAGAAAUCAUAUUUAGGAUUGUUGAUGUGAAUUCUAAACUAACAACGCAGAUGCUUUCGUUGCUACGAGGUAAGUCCUGCAAUUUAUUCAUUGCUUUCUCGGAUGUUAAAUUGGUGGUUUGCGCACCCGCAUGAUCGCCUCACAUGUUAGGGAAAUAAUUUUAAAAUCAAUUCAAGCUGCUUGCCAAACAUUUUUCGAAAUAAAAGAGAAAGGUACCGAAAGGGCGUUAGAGAAAUCUAACGUAACCAAGUCCCCGAAUUCAUAAAUCUCUGGUUCGUAGGAGUAAAGUAAAUCUCCCGUUACUUUGCUUGGGUUUCUAAUCGACCCACCAAAAUAGAUUAGUGGCGACUCCUAAUUGAAAAUCAAUUGCAUGCUAAAAACUUGAACCUAAGUCGCGAAUUGGUAUGGGCUUGGGAGAGCCCGAGUUAAGUCUAGGCUUAACAAUCCAUUAGCCAAACCCUAGGUGGUUCACACCCCGAAAAAUUUGGGUCGCGACACUAAUUCUGGGAAUAAAAAAGCAGAAUCAGGCACUGUUUGGCAUGUUGCCAAACGGACCCUUAGACACCACUUCAUCACUAAAUACAAAAAGAAAAAAAAAACAUACAAAGAUUUAGAGCUACAUUAGUAAAAUUUAAAAAAAAAAAUGGGAUUACAUUGGAAUUCAUACAAUAAAUCUCUCUAAAUAUGGAAUGAUGAUUUAUUGUUUGAAAAGUUUUGGCAUCAAAAUGGAUGUCAUACAAUAAUUAUGAAAAUGAUAUCAUUCUUAUGCCCUUUUUUUUUAUGAGGUUUUGCAAAUUUAGGAUCAUCUUAUCUUUUCCCAUCUCACAUGUCCAUUAUUUGUUUUAUUCAAACACGAAUAAGGUCCAUAGUCCACUAUAUGUCCGUAGAGGACAAUAAUGUCUACUUCUUCUUUUGCCUUUUUUUCCCCGAAGUAACACUAACAUCGCGAAUCAUUUACAGUCGAAAAUGUAGCACGUUUCAAAUAAACAUGCCACGUUUGAUUGGAUGAACUUUUGUGAACUUGGGACCAUCUUCAUCUUGUCACUUCUUGUAGGUCCAUACAUUAUUUUAUUCGGACAUAAAGUAGCAAAAGUCUUUAUAAUAAGGUCCACCCUCCACUACAAGUCCCUAGCAGAAAACGUGGCGCAUUUUAAAAGGACAUGCCACAUUUGAUUGGAUGGAGUUUUGUGAACUUGGGACCAUCUUCAUCUUAUCACUUUUUGUGGAUCCAUAAGUUAUUUAAUUCAUAUACGAAGUAGCAAAAGUCUCCAUGGUCUCCAUGACAAGGUCCACCUUCCACUACAAGUCCUUAGAGGACAAUAAUUGUUUUCUUUUCCCUUGGCUUUUUCCAAAAGUGACUUUAAUGUCACUGUUGGCCAUGAAACGAUUGAUUUGAUAAGAAAAGUUAACUACAACCGCACCUUUUUUUCAAUCAAAAUAACCAAAGCCUCUCUUUUAAAGGAAUUACCCUUAGGGGUCUUGUUAAUCAAUCAAUUAAAGUUUUAUUAUAUUGAUUUUUCUCCAAAACAUGUAGGAACAAUUUUUUGGAAAUGGAUAUUUCAUUAUUAAGUAAAUUGGACAUAUACAUGGACCUACUAAUUGUCCUCCCUUUUGAAAUAACUGGAAUUUGUUCUUUGCCGUCAUGCAAGUUGGAUUGAAAUUUACACGGCAACACUUAUAUUUUGUUUUUUGGAAUUUGUUUAUCUUGAUUUUUGUUGUGAAAGAAAAAAUAAAUAACAACAUUAAAUCAAGAAACAUAAAAGUAAAUAUAAUCUCGUAGUUCAGUCAAUUGGAAAUCAGAUUUUCGUAGUUCAGUCAAUAUAAUCUCGUCCACGGGGAGAGCAACAUAAGAUUUCACAAUUGAUCAAGAGAUAUUAUGGAAUCACUCAAAUACUUUCAAGUUUUCUUAGCCACCAUUUAUACUCAAUAAUUCACACAAAUAUGUAGCUUGUACAAUUCCUUAUGAAACAAUCUUUAAAUCUCAUAAAGGAAUCAUGUGUCUCACGGGAUUUACAUAGCUAUUAAACACUUAGUGAUUAGUUGUCUCUGAAUAUAAUUAACAAACUUAUGCGCAACCUUGCAUGUUGAAGUUGAAGUUGGAGUAUUCACUGAACUUGUAUGAAAAAGAACUCUACAAACAGUAUUCUCCUCUAAUUAGGGGGGAAAAAGCCUUCCUUGGAAGGGGAAAAUAUGGUGGUUGCAAAUGAAGUUCAAGUAUUCGCUACUUACUCGUAGAUGAUGACAUGGGCUACUCUAAAGGAGCCCAAAGAAAGACAUGGCAUUUGGCAAUAAUGCAAUUAGGUAGUUCUAAUUUCAUUUUGGCGUGACAUUUCCCUUGUUGUUCAAUUUGGGACGAUGCUUUUGCAAUUCUAAUGAAUAGGUCGUCUCCUAUCAUUCCCCGCUCACACCAUUAGCAUGGAAUAGGGAUUGGCCUGCUUUAUGACCUCAAGGCCGUGAGGCUUGCUAGUCGGGCCUGCCUCCUCAAAACAUAGUACCAACCGGUCAACAUUCAAACCGGAUCCUUUAUCACUCAAGUUUUAAGUAACUUUCUAAUGUGCUGGAGUAGGAUGAGCUAUGGGUACUUCCUUAUCAUUAUUAUGCUUCAUCAAAUAUUUCAUGGUGACAUAAAUUUAUUCAAUAUGAAUGAACACAUAUAAUGAAUUGGAGCGAUCAACAUGGGUCAGACUCUCCUAAAAGAUUUUAGGUUGUGAAAUUUUUAGGGUGGGUUUCAACUUACUUUAAGUUCUUUUCUAUUUCAUGCGAUUUUUGAGGGUGAUUUCAACUUACAUCUUUAAGGAAAAUGAAAAUUUUAAUUGAACUUAAGAACUAAAAAGCUUUAGGAAACUAAUGCUUGCCAUGUGAUGACUUCAAAUGUAUAGGAAUGGUACACUUCACAAUGGCAAAUAAGGAAUCACAGCCUAAAAAGUGUGACAAAAUAUUUCAUAAAUUUUAGUUUCUAUGGUUAAAUAUAAGAAAAUUCAAUGAAACUUAACAGAAAAUAAUAUUUAUUCAAGUAAAAUCGUAUAAUGUAAUGAGUAAUAUACAUUUUUUAUUUGGGAUAAUUGUCUAAAAAAUGUUAAAUUAUUGCGCAACGGCCAAUUCAGUUCUAAUUUUUUUUAACAAUUUGUCAAUUUAGUCAUUAACUUUUUAGGAAUUUAAUAAUGUAGUCCUUCCAAUUAAUUUUAACCGAAAAUUGCCAAUGUGGCGGUCAUACCACAUAAGAUGGCCAACAUCCACGUCAAAGAUUUUUCUAUCAAAGUUGGUCAUUCCUAGUUUAGGCACUAGAAUAUGAUAUUGAUCCGGGCCUGCCGCCGCUGCCACCGCAACUUGCAGAGGUCUCGUAUGGGCUUACGAGAAUGACGAGCUUGUUGAAUGGUUUGCUGUCGUCUAUGGUGCAUCAGCGAAUGGAAUGAAGAAGUUGUAGAAGGGAGGAGGAUUACGACGAAAAACUGCAGAAUUGGAGAGAAGAAUUUUUCUUAUGAAGGUUGGGCAACUUAGGACAGGGAGAGGUUGAAAUUAUGGUUUUCGUCAUCUCUUCGAGUUUAGAGAAAGCAUAAAAAGCUAUAUAAAUUAUAAAGGUCAUUGGAGAAAGCUACUUCUCUCAUGCAGACUUGACCGUGGAAGUCGAAGAAUUAAAUCCUUGUGUUAAUGGGAUUUUAUUGAGCAUGCAUUAUAAGCGAAAUAUGUAUCUAUAGGCCUGUAAAGUCUAAGAUACCUUAGUUUAUCAUAUCAGUUAAAUAAUUAGUGGUGAAAGGGACUAGUACAUUUUUCUAAUUCCGUAACUCGUGUACAUCACUCCGUUUUGGGUCAAUACUACGAAAAACCUCAAACCAGCUCACUUAUAACAAAUUGAGCACAAACUAAUUGAAGAUUUUUGUAAUACUAUUCCUUCAAUUUUUUAUGGUCUUAAUUUUAGAUUUGUCAUUAUUAUUCAAUCCCAUUUGUCCCUGCAUGAACUCCAUGCGGUUAAAUUGUACCGAGAUAAUUUUCUUGUUAGCUUAUUCUAGAAAGUUUAUGACAUUCUUUGACCCAGAGGACUUUGAAAUUGUAAUUAAUAAGUCAGACACGUUACGUCGGUAAUUGAUUCAAAAUAUUCAAUGUUACGAUGGAAUUCAAUACCUAAAUGAGUGAAAGCGUUGGUUGUUGUCGACACCUCAAUUUUUUACCAGUAAAAUUUUUCUUAUCAAACAUUUUACUGAUAAAUCGAAAUAUACAAUUUUGCAGGAAUAAUAAUAAAAGUGAAUGAUGAAUGAAACACCGGGCCCACGACUCCACAGCCCAUCCAUGACUAGAAGAUGUAGACUACUAAAUCGAGAGUUUGGCCCAAGGGCUUUUAAGCUAGUUCAGGGGAUGAAUGACACCAAGCAGACCCUCAAAGGAUGAAAUGGAACUUUCAAUCCAGUCAAAUGGUCUUUUCCAUUCUUUUCUUACAGCUACACCGUAAGAAAACCAUAUCGAGGUCAGUACAAAUUACAAGUUGGUGCGACAAUUUAAGAUUAAAUUACUAUGCUGAGGUGAUUGACAUUCUCAUGGUACUAAGUCUAUAGCUUAACUAAUACACGAAAAAGAAAAAUAAUAACUAUAGGUGCAAUCCAUAUUACACCAAGAUCAGUUAAAUUACAAUGCUGGAGUUAAAUUACUAGGUACGAGAACUACAAGGUAUGACCCUAAAGGAAAUUUAUAAUACAAGGAGUAAGAUCUCUUAAGAUGAAGUCAUUUACCUUAGAGGAAGUAAUUUCAUAUACAUUUGAAAUGAGUAAUUUAGCUUGAAAGUAAAGUUCACCAUGCAAAAUGAAGUUCGUAAACUUUUUAUGUCAUAACAUUCGGGAAACUCGCUACAGCAGGUCAUUUUAUAUAUUCAUUGCAUGCAGAAGGGAAUCCGGUCACGUACUUUCCUAUCAAUGCAUACUCAUUAUUGACAAAAGUGCAGCUUCAGACAAUACAGGCUUCCAAGACUUCUUAAGUCAGUCACGAUCCCCAAGAGCAUCAAUCUUCCUCAACAAUGAACUGAAUAAAGACUGAAAUAUAUAGGUUUCGAACCUUGAUAUCAAGGUCUUCAUUGCAUUAACUCUUCUGUGAUCCUCCUCUCCAUGUAGAUGCAAAAUGGGAGAACCAGAUUCUGACCAAACAACCCCCUUUACGUUUUCACUUCUUGCCACGCGCCCUCAUCUGUAACAUGCAGGAAAAAAAGAAGGGACUGAUGGAAUCUACUCCUGUCACUGCAGGCAUGAACUCAGAUCCCGCUUAGUGCAUGAAAGUCUCGACUCAUCAACUCAUAAGCAGAGGGCACAUCAUGCAAGGGAUGGCCUUUCCGGUUUCUCUCCAUUAUCCUUCUUGCCAGGGAAACUUGCUUCCCAACUGCAAAGACAAACGCUUUGCCUGUCCCUCCAGCACCUCUUGCUGUUCUUCCAACACGGCGGACAUAUUCGCUCGGAUCCCGCGGGAAGUCAAAGAGAAUAACAUGAUCCACUCCAGUGAAGUCGAUUCCUCGCGAGGCCCUGCCAUAUGGAUGAAAAAUCAUCAGGAUCUCGCAAAAAGAUGAGAGUGACAUGUCUUUGGUAAAUUUGUAUGUGCCCAGCGACCCCACCAACAGUUACAAGCGGCCACCUUUUAUUUGACCGCAUCACAACCAGUGCUGUUAAAAGCACCAGGCCCUCUUAAGAGGCUUAGAGCCCACAAUGCAUCAGGCGCUAGGCUGAAUGAUGGGAGGUGCCAAGUAAAUGUGGGGAUUAAGCCAUCAAGAAACAAAUUAGUAGGUCUUUCAAUUGCAAAUUAAUCAAGGUCUGCAUCGUAGCAAAUAUGGAGUGCUGCGAGAUGUGAGUGUAUAAAAGUUAACAAAGAAUUAGAAAGGACAGAUUACAAGAUUAGUAGAUCGACCUUCAUUGUUUAUUUUUUUGGUUCUGUCCUUCCUCACAAGCUUUGGAGGACAAUGGAACAAGAGAGAACAACUGUGGCCAUUUUGAGAUGAAAGAAGCUAAAAAUCUUUCGGCUUCUUAGAGCCUAGAAGCUGUCCUCCACUUCCCACAGCUCUUUCAAAAAAGAUAUUUAUCUAUUCUGUUCUUCAUUUUUAGGGAUAAUGACAAAAAUGGUCAUUGAACUUUUGACCCAAUGUGUAAUGUGAUCAAUGAACUUUUAAUUUUUUCAAUGUGGUCCAUGAACUUUAUCCCAAUGUGCAAUGUGAUCCCUGAACUUUCAUUUUGUUCAAUGUGAUCCCUAAACUUUUAGUACAUGUUCAACUUAAUCCUUGAAAUAUAUUGAAAUGUUCAAUAUUGUCCUUUCAUUAAUUCAAGAGUAGGACUACACUGAACAUUUUCAUAUAGUUCAGGGACUAAAUUUAACAUGUACAAAAAGUUUAUGGACCAUAUUAAACAAAUUGAAAAUUUAGGAACCAUAUUGCACAUUGGAUUAAACUUCAUGAACUAGUUGUCAUUUUCCCUCAUUUUUACUAAGGACAGGAUAAAAACGUCGAAGGAAAAAUGUAAAGCUAGACAGAUCUUUUCUAAGGCAACACCUCACAUGAGAAGGACCUCACCUCAGGCGCUUACCUCAAAUGAGGAAACCUUGCCUGAGAUGAGGUGAGGAGCAUAGGCUUCACCUCGCUUUGCCUGAGCACCUAGGUGAGUACCUCGAGUGUUAGCUAACGCUAAGCUCUUGCCCAUCAGUGAAAUGGAGCUGAGCCCAAUACCCUAAAACUUGCAAGUACACAGGCCCAAUAAUUUGAAAAAUCCACUAGACAGAACAAGGCCUAUCCCAGCCAUUGCUAUUUUCGUCUAAUUCUUGUUGACACAGACUACAUUAUAAUUGUGCAAGCUUGAAUUGAUAACUGAAGGCCUGGGUCUUUGCAGGUCACACAUAGUUUAACUAAAGGCAACUGUACAUACCUGUCGGUGCAAACCAAAAACAAGGAGACAUCUUUAGAUGGAGAAGCAGCAAACUCUUUCAUAUUUGCCUGCCGCAACUCUUGUGAAACAACAGCAUGAAAAGGUAGAACUCUUGUACGAGCACCUUUUCUGUCAAUGCGCUUCAAUGCAUUUUCAACUUUUCGACAUGUCUCAAUCUGUAUAUGGAGAAGAGGAAGGACGAGUUAAAAAGUAUUGAUGAGUUCUCCAUCGAGGUGGCUUCAGAGCUGUCUCUCAAACUCCAGGUCAGAAGUUAGCAAGAUGGGGGGGAGACAGAAGUAAAUGUAAUGAUGAAUCAAUUUCAAGCAGCUCACACUGAAAGAUCAACAUACCUUGUUACAGAAUACAAUCGUUUUGGUUACUGGGCUUUCUUCUGCAAGCUGAAUAAGAGCAGACUUCUUAUUCAGGAAUGCAGUAUCUGAAGUCUUUUCACUGUCUUCCUCUCCACUACAAUCUGCAACAUGUACAACGAAACCAUUCUUCUAUUUUUCAGUACACUAUAGCUACAUAGAGUUCUUUGUUUGUAGUAUAGCAUGGACUGAAAUCUGCCGAAUGCCAAAACCAUCCAGGCUUUGAUGUCAUUCAAAUUCUUAGCGAGAAAAUCCAUUAACGACAGGUUUUUUAACUUCAUAUCCUAUAUCAAACAAUAUGACGAGUGGAGCUUUCACAAUUUGUCUCCGGUCAUUUCUCAAAGUAGUUUCUACUGGGUCUAACGGAUAGCAAUAUAUCUAGCCUUUUUUAAAAAUCAAAGCAAAGGUCUCCAUAACUCAACCCAGAAAUUUGAGUUUCAGCUGUGUAGGUAAGAGUAAGAAUAGAAAUUUCGCUAAUAUUUUUCUUUCCUCAAAGAAUGGUAAUGAUACAUGGUGGUACUAAAUCUAGGAAACAGUAGCACAAUCACAUUCAUUACUCAAAAACAGAUGAGAAGAAGAUGAUUUUGAAUACCUCAUGCACCCAAACUCAUUCAUGCAACAUUAUACAAUGCAGGCUUACCAUCUAAGAUCCUUCAACUCCAAAAAGCCUUCUUUAAUGAGAAAAAUAAAGCGACCAGGAGUGGCUAUUAGGACAUCAACACCUUCUUCUAUAUUUUCCAGCUGAGUUUUCUGCCUGAAACCACCCGUGGCAACCAUAGACCGGAAUGGAGCCCCACACUUUGAUAUGGAUCGGCAGUUACUCAAAACCUGCAUAAAACUUACUAUAGAUAUUAAGUAUCGCUCAUGUGGACUAUGUUAGUUUGUAAUCAACUACUAGCAAAAACACACAUGGCUAUAAAUAAAACAAACUAUAGAUUGUCUCCAAAUUCAGAACACCUACAUUUUCAACAGCUCCACAGAGAUUACCAGUUUUGCCACAUGAACGGAUUAUGCACAUCAUAUAAGCAACUGUGCCACUCAAAUUGCAUAUUUGUCUUUGCAGGAACACAAUACAAUCUUUCAGAUUGCAACACUUAGGAAUCUCCAUAUUUUUAUUUUUAUUUUCAUUUUCGAAAGAAGAGAUGACAAUUUGAGUAUUAUAGGCAACAAGUUGUUCAAAAGAAUUUGACUGCCGCCAAAAAUAAAUUGCAGUGCUUUUUUACCACAAAUUUGUUGCUUAAGGAAGAGCCUAUCACAGUAUGGGAUGAGAGCUUAAAAUGGCCAUAAACAAGUAAAAGUUGGUGACUUGAUUGCCAAAGCACGUAAGGGUAAAAGAAAAGGCACAAGAAGGAUACCAACUACCAACCUGUGAAGCUAACUCAGCAGUUGGCACCAAAAUGACAACUCGAGGGCUUCGUGAGAAGGAUUUGCUAAGUCCCUGCAGUUCUUCUUGUCUGAGACGUUGGACUGCUGGUGCAAGAUAAACCAGCGUUUUUCCCGAGCCACUCUGAUCAGCUAUAAUACAAGUCUUUCCCUCAAUUACAGGUUUGAAUGCCAUUGCCUGCAGUCAUUCAUAGUUAGCAUCAAUCUGAGUUGCAGUACACUAGGAGAAGAUCUUCCUUUUGUCAAGUUGUAGAUAGAACAUCUUGAUGGAAUUACUUAUCAAUACCCAUGAGAAGGAAAAGACAAAAACCGAUGCUAUAGGUUGGCCCUUCAAUGACUUCCACAUCCAUCAGCUCCAAAUUCACGCUUACAGAUAAAAUAUUGAUGAUGAAAAAUGCAAGCUUACCUCUAGAACUAUACAGAAACAAGGUCAUCAUUGAUUUAAAGCCCAAUAUGGAUAUCAUGCAGACAGUAGAUAUAAUGGAAAUAAUUAGAACGUGCUCAAAUUUAGUAUACUGCCAGCUAAAACAGCAGUAAGGAAGCAACGACCAAGUUCCUUUCAUUUACCAGCCAAAAAAGAGAAAACAACAAGUUGAAACCUUUGACUUCGAGUAGGUCAUACUAUUGAUGUACCUGAAUAUGUGAGGGGUGCAGAAACUGCUGCUUCCUCAAAGAUUCAAUCAUAUAGUCACUACAACCCAAAUCUUCAAAGGACUUUUGACUAUAGAAGUCACCAUUGGAGGAAACUUUCCUAUGCAAAUUUAGAUCUUUUGACUCAGAUCUAAAGUCAUCCACAGACACCCUCCUGCCCCAUCCUCUGAAAUCUGCAUUAGAACUACGAACUGAAUGCUCUGUUCCAACUACUCUGGUGGCAGAUAUGCCGUGUUUAUUGGGUUCCAUUCGGUGCACUGAAUGAUCCACAUCUGCAGUGUCAGUCCUCCCUGCAGCAUCUUUGGCAGCUUUGGAUCGGUAAGGACCCAAAUCCUUUCCUUUAAGUCCAAUGAUAGCUGCUUCCUUCUUUUUCCCCCGUUGAUCCAAUUUGGAAUAAGAGAGAUCAGGCACAUCAAAAGGCACAUUUUCUAUUUCUUGUUCAUAAUCCUUGUGACUCGCUUCCUUUAGCUUGGAAGAUUUUUCAGCAAGAGCUUUGACUCUCUGAGAUGUCAAUCGUCCAAAACUUCUGCCCCUCACACUUGCUGCAGGAGAAUCAUCUUUUGGCAGCGUUGACCCAUGAUGAUUGCCUGCAAAAGAAGAAAUGACUGUUGGAUUUCAUUUCAUCAAUGUGAAAACAAAUUCAUCUCCAAGCUCCAACUUUAUGCGUUACACAGAGGGAUUAAGUACGCUGUGAGAAAGUCUAACACAGAUUGAAAUGGGAGAGAAAUUUCUAACUUGUUUGCAUAUAUUCAUUUUCGAGCCAAACUAAGAAAACCAAAAUCUUUUGCCCAAGGUUGCACGAUUCAAAUAAGCUCCAAAAGAAGAUCUAGUGUUGGACUUGUUAUGCAUCUGAACACAAUGGUUCAGCUUUGGCAUUUGCACAGCAGAAAAUUCAUAUAACAAAUUGCUUGAGUUGUCCCAACGGCUCAGGUACCAAUUAUCAACAAUGCAUACACCCAAAAAAAAAAAAAAAAAACAACAACAACAACAAAUAAAAGGGAAUUCGUCAUCAGAACGGACCGCAUUAGUUAUUCAAUUUGCGCAUUCACAUCAAACACGUCUACAGUUGAAUGCAAACGACGCAAGGUAUAGCUCAAUUACUGAGAUAUAAUCUAACCUAACUUUCAGCUCAGCAACCCAAAUAAGAGUACGCUAGUAACAUCAAACCAUCGUCCCAAAAAAGAUAGCGACAGUAAGACACAAAUUCCCUUUAUCUGCCACGCUCUCAAAACAAAAAACUACCCAAUCAUCCACAUGACCAAAGACUCAAUUCGCAGCGAAGCAUCACCUCCACUAGAACCGCCGCCGCCGCCGCCGCCGCCGCCCUUCCUCGCGGGCUUCCACCGGAGGACGUCCUUGGGCGGAACCGGAGAGUCGGCCGGGUCGUCGCUGCCGCCCCCGACGAUGAAACGCUCGCCCGUCUCGUCGUCGAUCAGCUGGUAGGCCCCCGGAGUGUCCCAUGGCGUCCUCGUGUAGCCGCCCGACCGGACGGCGAAAUUACGGGUCCCGCCGCCGGUAAGGCGGAGGCGGAGGCGGCGGCGGCGAGCGCCGAGGGCCCGGGAGGCGAGGGGACGGGGACGGAAGGAGAAAGGGUACGCGACGGAGCUGGAGGUGGAGGUGGAUGUGAAUGGUGUGGAGUUGAGGCUGAUGGAAGGAGAAGGAGCUUUCGCUAGCAUCAUCGUGCAUGCCCAGAAAAAAUAGAAGAUGACGAUGAUGAUGAAGAUGAAGUUUUUUUCUUUUUCUUUUUUUAUUUGAGCUCAAAACGCUUCCAAAUUUUUUAAAAAAAAAAAUUAAUACUGGCACGCACGAGGGCUUUUAUUUGUCUUUUCCAAAACUUUUUUAUUUUGACGACUUUCGGGAUAUAUUGGAAGAACUCGAAAUAAAACACUACAUUGAAAAUUAACGCCUUUUUUAGAGAAAGGUUUCCCUUUUAAGAUAUAAACUAUCUGAAUAUCGUAUAUGAGUUUUGAAUUUUAUUCAUUUAUUCAUCGAUUUUAAGAAAGAAGGCCUACAAUUAAAAGAUAUAAAAGGUAUUAUUGAAAUUUUGUAAGGCCUAGAUUUUUUAAAGUCUUAAUAAGGAAGUGAUGGAGAUUUUUCGAUCUAUUAUUUUCAAUCCAAUUGGUGCAUACUAAUAUAUUUUGUAAGUUUUUCUCCUAGCUAAGAAUUAAUAUAACUAUUGCCUCAUCACAUUUGAGAGUAUCAUGGAAUAUUUCAGGACAUUCCAUGAUUUAUUGUGAUAUAUUGACCAUCACUUCGUUAUGGAGUAUAUUAAUAUGUGAGGAAAUGAAUUAAUAACCUAGAAAGCACCGAUAAUUUCAAAGAGCUUUCAUGUCAUGCCAAACAUUCAAUAUGUGUUUAAUAUUCUCCGACACUUUUCGACACCUAACCAACACAUGCCAGAAGCUGAGCCAUAGAUUCUUUGAAGUCUUCAUAAGGAGCUUAUCGAAGUUUUCAAUCAAUUAUUUUCAAUCCAAUUUGGUGCAUAUUAAUAAAUUUCGUAAACCUAACGAAAAACUAAUAUAUAUAUAUAUGAGAAGGAAAAGAGAACUCUUAUAAAGGUACCGCCACAACACAUUUGAGAGUAUCAUCGAAUAUUUCAAGGCAUUCCCUAAUUUAUUGUGAUAUCACCACUAUCACUUCAUUAGGCAAUAUAUUAGUAGUAACUGACACAAUGAGAUACUGAUAAUCUAAUAGAGACUAUAAUUUUUAUGGGAGUAUUUUUGCCUAAUUUAUAUGUAUGUUUUCACUAGUCAAGGACACCAUUGAAUAGAUUCGAAAAAUUUGGGCCUCUUUGACCAAGGAAACAAGUUUGAAAAGUGUUCCGCUAUUCCAAAAUUGGAACAUAUAUUCAUUUAUGAUCAAUUUCAUCUUACGUCAUUACUUCAUCCAAGUUAAUACGUUACAUUCCAUGAUUGUAUCACUCAAUAAUGGUGCAAAGGAAAAUGAGCCAGCCAAAAGUAAAAGAUCAAAUUGAGAGAGAUGUGUGAUCAGAUGUGAAAGAUCGAUCCGUAUAUUGACAGUGUAAUCGAUAGAUAAAAUACAUUCUCAAGCGAUCAUGUCAUGCAAAUGAAUCAAUGUGUCUUGGCUAGAAGAUGGAAAUUGGAAGAAUUGAGAGAUUUGUUCUCAAGGCCCAUCGCCUAAUUCCUCGUAGGUUGGCCCAAGGGGCUGCGAAGCUGGUUCAGAAGGCGAAUGAUCCCUAGAAGGCCCUCAAAAAGAGUGGAAUGGAACUUGUUUUAUCCAAACAAAACAUUCAAAGGGGAAUGAGAAUUUAAAAAUUAACCAAUAGCAAAGGGGCAAAAAAAAAAAAAAAUCAAAACCCCAGCUUUUCCACAAUGGGCCAAUAAAUCCCUUCUCUCAUUCAAAGUUUAAAGAAAAGUUUCAAACCAUGAUGAUGAGUCCCAAUGUCGAAGCUGAUUUUUGUGACCAAGGUGGGGCCUGAACUUUCCCAUAUCGUUUGGCUGUUAAGUCCGACAUGCAGAGCGGCCUGUAAGGCCCGAGGACCGAAAAUUAAGAAGCCUGAUAUUUGUCCGCGUGACAACAUUGCCACUGUGGAUUGAGUGAUAAAUAUGUCACAAUGAUUUUACCAAAAAUAAAUAAUUCAAAUAAUAUCUUUUUAAAAUAUUUUUAAAUUAUUUAUUUUUUAGGAAAUAAAAAAAGUCUACGAAUAUUCCAAAUUUCGUUGAAAUUCAAGCGAUGCACAAAAAAAAUAUGAAAUUAAAAGAAGAGAUGUCAACGUUUUUUUAAUGGCCCACCUGCCAUGAAAUGUUUCACGAGAUUUUGGAGUGGGGCCGUCAGCUUUUCGCAAAUAAUGAGCACGAUUUAAUGUUACCCUAUGGUUGAUGCUGCUCUCCGAGCAGGCUACGUUCAAAUAAGCUGGAGGUACUAUCAUUUGAUUAUGUGGGGAUUGGUUAAGGAAAAACAAGGGGCAAAAAAGGAUGAAAGAGAGUGCUGAGGGUGAGAGAGAGGGCGUUAAGAAGAGAGAGAGAGCGGCGGGAAUCGGUUGAACUAACUGCCGUGAUUGUCGUCGAGGCGAUCACCAUACUCGGGCUGUCACGACCGAGGUUAUUUCUCUUGAGCCGCCACUAGGUCUCUUUCUUUGAAAUAGAUCCUUAGGAGUUGAUUUUGCAGACAUCGAUGGCAGUCAUGGAUCUCUCUCUAACUAACACACUCACCCGCCCACCCACCACAGGAUUUAAGGAUCACAACCAGCAUAAAUAAUCAUAGUUUUUAGAUAACUAUGGCAAGACAAUUAUAUGAAUUAAAAUGUCCAACUAAAAGGAAGGAGAUCUCCUAUGUAUGAAUUGCGUGUAAACCCAAUUGGAAGAUCAUAGAAGAAAUGGCAUAUUGGAGGAAGAGUAUAGUUGUAACCAGAAAUUAAUAUCUUCGAGAAAAUGACAACAAAUAAUUAAAUAGAAAGUGAGAUACGGUUAAUUGAAUAUUCUUAAAGUGGUUAGUUUUUGCCAACGAUUAAGCAACUUCACGAACUACUAUGUCUCUCGAAAUAUAAUAUCUUGAACUCGUUUGAAUUAGCACCAUACAUACAGGACUCUAUCGAGCACUUAUUGAGACUAGCACACUUAGAGAAAAAUUGAAGUGAGAAGAUGUAGGUGAUUCGAUUGAUACUUUGGAUGAAGAAUUUCAAAUCUAUUUAUAGAGUUUAAGAAGUUAUGUACAUAACAGAUACACGCACUAGAGAGGUACAUGGAUUAAAUAGGUAUAAGAAUCAAAUAAAUACAUAAACACAAGAAAUAUAUGAAUUUUAAAGAUAUAUGAACUUGAAAAAUACAUGAAUUAAUGAGAUAGAUGAACUAAAAAAAAUGAAUCUCAUUUUGCUCACUUUCGUUGAUCUAUUAAUUCACCGCAAUUACAACAAACCUAAUUCUGAUGCGAUAUCGAUUCAAAAUCUUGAGUUUACAAGUUUAUAAAAAUAUAGAAAAUGCCUUACCAAAAAAAAAAAAAUAAGAGUAUAGAAAAUCGUAGAAAAAGACAUGUGGGAUAUCAAUUGGACGAUGACGAUAGUGGUGUCUUCCAUUAUCUCAUUACAUCCGUUCAUAACAUAUCAGUAGCAAGACUUUCUCAUCUUCUUCCAAAGCUCUAUAGAUGAUGGUGAUAGCGAUGUCUUCCGAGCGAUGGAGCCAGAGUGACGCUCUCACAAAUCUCCCAUUCAAAUCUCCCGAGCAAAAAGCGUUUACCACCAAUUUGUCGGCGCCCUCCCCUCCGCAGGUUCCUCUCGCUCGAGCUCGUACUUUUAAAUUUUUUAUUUUCACUUACUCACAAGCGAUUGAAUCGUCUCCAACUCUUUGAUUGAGAUCAUGGUUCCACUUCCCGCAGUCAUUAAGUUAAUCAACUCCCUUUUUUUUCAAGUUCCCUUUGGUAUUUUUUCCACCAAGAGUAACGCCACUCGCCGACUGUCCCUAUUGGAGCUGUCAGAGCAGUAGCUACAGCAAUCACAACAGGCGGUGCACCGAUCGCAACUGCAACGACUGAGAAGAUCACAGUGACCACGAAGGCGGUCACAAAUAUGGCAUUGGUCACCCUUCUGCAAGCUUGUGCAGAUUUAGUUUUUUUUGGCAAGCUUCUUCUUACGACUCUGCAACUUCUGCAACAUCUCUGCCUGCUGCUCAUUCACCGAGUGAAGGAGAGUGAAUAACUUGUCCGUGAAUGGGUUGGCUGCUUCGUUGAAUUUCUUGAGCUCCCGCAGUGUCUCGACAUACUUCUUCCCUCCCACAUUCUCUCCUCUCUCUUCUUCAGAGUCCGUAAGUGCAUCGCGAAUCUCCCACUGGUUACCAUGGGCCUGACUCAGGCAAUCAUUGAGAGAAGAAUAGAAUUUUAAUAUAUUUUGGACACAGUCGAAGUAACAAAUCACUAAAUCGGACAGCUCUGUCAUUUACAUUUAGAGGAAGUAAUUUAAUUUACCUUUUGAGUAAUUUAGCUUGAAAGUAAAGUUGGCUACGAAGGUUGAAAGUAAUUUAAUUUAGCUUGAAAGUAAUUUAAUUUACCUUUUGAGUAAUUCAGUUUGUAAAUUAUAUUUUGUGCUCGUAAAUUAGCUUCUUAUACCGUAACGCUCAGUAAUUUGCUAUAGCAGGUCAUUUUAUAUUUUCAUUGCAUACAACAGGGGAUGCAUACAACAGGGGAUACAGUCCCGAACUUUUCUAUCAUUACAUAUUCAUUAUCAACAAAGUGCAACUUCAGACAAUAUGGGCCUCCGAGACUUCUUAACUCGGUCUUGAUCCUCAGGAGCAUCAAUCCUCUUCGACAAUGAACUGAAUAAAGACCGAAAUAUAUAAGUUUUGAACCUUGAUAUCAAGCUCUUCAUUGCGCUGACGCUUCUGUGAUCCCCCUCAACAUGGAGAUGCAAAAUAGGAGAACCAGAUUCUAAACAAACAACUCCUUUUACGUUUUCACUUCUUGCCUCGCGCUGCUCUUCUGUAACAUGCAGGAAAAAUAGAAUGGACCGAUGGGAUCUACUCCCGUCAUAAACUCAGAUCCCGCUCAGUGCACAAACGUCUCAUCAACUCAUAAGCGGAGGGCACAUCAUGCUAGGGAUGACCUUUCCAGUUUCUCUCCAUUAUCCUUCUUGCCAGGGAAACUUGCUUCCCAACUGCAGAGACGAACGCUUUGCCCUUCCCUCCAGCACCUCUCUCUGUGGCAGACAUAUUCGCUCGGAUCGCGCGGGAAGUUGAACAGAAUAACAUGGUCCACUCCAGUAAAGUCGAGUCCUCGUAACGACCUGUUAUAUGGUUGAAAAAUCAUCAGGAUCUUGCAAAUGCCUAAGGAAAGAUGAGAGUGACAUGUCUUAGGUAAAUUCAUGUGUAUCCAGUGACCCUGCUCUGCCUUUCGUUUGACCAUGUUGCAAACAGUGCCGUUAAAAUCACUAGGCGCUGUUAAGAGACUUAGACCCCACAGUGCCUCAGGCACUAGACCGAACAAUGAGAGGUGCCAAGUAAGAAGUGGGGAUUAAUCCAUCAACAAACAAAUUAUUAGGUCUUUCAUACUUAGAAUCACAAGUUAUUCGAGGUCUGCAUCAUAGCACAAAUUGCACUGGUNNNNNNNNNNNNNNNNNNNNNNNNNNNNNNNNNNNNNNNNNNNNNNNNNNNNNNNNNNNNNNNNNNNNNNNNNNNNNNNNNNNNNNNNNNNNNNNNNNNNUCCACCGGCAAACACCUAAUAAUCCAAUUGUGGCUUGGGCGAGGGUUGCCCUCGCCCAAGCGACCCUUGCCGGGUCGCGGUUGGGCGAGGGCUGCCCUCGCCAGAGCUCCUCCUAGCCUGGCCGGGCCUCACUUGUGGAGGGAGAGGCCAGCCGGCUGGCUGUGGCCGGUGACUGGCCGUUGCCAGUGGCCGGUGGCCGGCCACUGGAAAAGGGAAAAAAAAAAGAAAAUAAUAAUAAUAAAAAAUAAAAAUAAAAAUCAAAAAAUAUUAAAAUAUUAUUAAAAAUUGUCCACAUCAAACACCGGCGGUCCUACAUGGCACCGCCGGUGUCCAUGUCAGCAUUUUCCGGCCAAAAUUGGCCAAAUGGACUAAAUUGGCAAUAAGUGAAAAGGUUUAUGACUCAAUUGACAAAGUUAAAAGGUUUAGGACUGAAUUGGCAAAAGUGCAAUAAGUUUAUGACUUUUUGGACAAUUUUCCCGUUUUAAGUACCUCACUUAGGGCAAAAGCAUUUUUUGUUUUCCAAAUUAGAGCAAACUCUGCGAGGGUGAUCCUUCUGGAGUUUCGGGCUGGAUCGACUCUAGUUAGGUUUCAGACCUUUAGGCGAUGCUCAUAUCAAAUCGUGUUUAUAAAUUCUUCCAAGGAAGAAAAAUUUUAUGGUUGAAACGUGCAAAUACUAAGCAAGUCUAAUGGUUAAAAUGCCCCUUAUGCUGUAAAACCACAGAGACUAAGGACGUUAGCAGAAUAAUAACUUACCGAAGCUAAUCAUUUAACAAAUAUUAAACACCUAUUGAAAAUGAAUCUCAAUGCAAAACCAACCCUUCAUGUAAAUUUUAGAUUACAUGCCUUAAACUAAGAUUAACUUGUAAAAUGUCAUGCACAAUUUCCAAAAGAAUAAUUACCAAAAAGGUCAUUAACCUAUUGGACAUAUGUCAUUACAAUCAAUAACCUUUCAAUUUGAUCACAUUUAAUCAUAAACAUUUUAAGAAUUUGUCAAUAUAGUCAUUUCAGCCAAUUUUAGGCGAAAAUAAUUAAUGGGGAUACUAGCCAUCUUACAUGGCAUAGUGCUAAUAUAAAUAUUUUUUUAUAAUUUAAAAAAAAGUGAAUUUUUUUUUUUUUUCAUAAUUUUCGCCACACCCCUCUAGCCAACGAGGGCUCACAGGCCUUCGUCUAGUGGCCGUUGCUGGCCACGAUGAAAAAACAGAACAGAAAAUUUAUACAUCGGCAGGAUGGUUAGUGUUUAUUUCCACCGGACAAUGACGCCAUCCCGUUUUCUCGCGACUGCAGGUCAGCUCGCCGCUCGCCGCCGACGACCUCGAAGAGCAGCAGUCGGCGAUUUUCGUUGACGGAUCCAGUCAUCGUUCAAAGUCGGCCUCGAUGGAGCUUGAUAUCUCCGGAUUCGAUACGCCUUCUCCAAGAAGGUGACGGUCGCAGUGCACCACCAUCGUCACCGGCUGCGCAACGGAGUCAGCUCUCUCUGGCUUUUUCAUCUGGCUGAGUUCUCCACCAGCAUUGACAGGGCUCUCGCGAAUGAUCCGGUCGAGCUAGAGUUCACUCUCUCUCUCUCUUCCUCCGGAGCGGCUCCCGAAAAGCUCCGUCACCACCUCUCCAUUUCUGUCCUUCACCAUCGACGACUCCAGCUCGCCAGUAGGAUCUUCGCACGAUACCUCGGAGGCGAAGAAGAAUUCAGAAGCGGUUUCAUGUUCAUCUUUGCUUUUCACUGGAAUCAACAGACCCUCGGACUUGGUGAGUCGGGGACCGAUGAAGCUCAAUUCGGCACAUUGAAACUCGGAUCCUCACCGUCAUCGUGGACGAUCUAGACUCUUAAUCUCUGAUAAUCUCAGGUUCUGAUCCAUCGUUUCUCGCUUCGUCGCUGAUAAUCUGUUUGCCGAAUUUUCCCCCAAGAAGCACGCGAUGCAGAGGAAGGACUAAGAAGCUGAUGACACGAGAGAGAAAGUGGAGCCGUGAAACAGAGCAGUCGCUUGCCAUCGUCCAACGCAGCUUCACCGUCGGCUUUAAUGCUCGUGGCCGGAUGCAGCGAUUGCGAGUUCAGGCGAUGACAAAAUCCAUCCGCUAACGGCCGCACUCACCCAGGUCAUUUUCGGCUACUGCAUCACAAAAUUCAACCAUCGAAUUUCAGCACUAGAGAAAAAUGCAAGGAGAGAAUCGGAUGAAUUCCAGGCGAUCGAUCCUACAGGUUUAGCUAAUGAUAGAGAGGCCCGUUGCAAGUUAGAACAGCUCCUAAGCUUGCCAUCAGGAAAUGCCGAACUCGGGCAGGUUUUUACUCUGAAAUCAAGAAAGGAGGGCCCUAAAUAUGUGCACAUUGUUCUUGCUUCUUCGUAUCAGAACGGCUCUCGCUUCUAACCUCAUGCAACUAUGGAGGCAACUUUUGUAAACUCAAGUUGGAACUAAUGCUUUCUCAAGAUAUUGCACAAAUAAGAAGUUUAUGGGCUGCAUUUUAGAUUAGAUCAAAGUACAUGGGCUAUGUAUGUUACUAUCCCUAUUAAGAGAUGUGAUUGAUUGAUAAAAAAAAAAAUACAUUUUUUUCUGGCCACAUCAUGUAAACAGACCGGCUUGGCUAGACCUAGAAGAUGUAGAAUACAAAAAUUGAGAGUUUGGCCCGAGGGCUUCUAAGAUGGUGCAGGAGAUGAAUGACACCAGGAAAGGCCCUCAAAGAAUGGAAUGACACUUUCAUUCUAGUCGGAUGGUCUUUUCCAUUCUUACAACUGCAACAUCGUAAGAGAAACUAUAUGGAGGUCGGUACAAAUUACAAGUUUUGUCUGUUGCAACAGUUUAAGAUAAGUUACUAUGCUGAUGUCAUUGACAUUCUCACGGUAUGAAGUCUAGAGCCAAACUUAUACGUGAAAAAGAAAAAUAAUAACUACAGGUAGAUUACUCCAGGAUCAGUCAAAUUACAAUGCUGGAGUCAUAUUACCAGGUACAAGAACUAUAAGGUAUGACCUUUAAGGAAAAUUAUAAUACAAGGAGUAACAUCUCUUAAGACGGAGUCAUUUACAUUUAGAGGAAGUAAUUUAAUUUACCUUUGAGUAAUUUAGCCUGAAAGUAAAGUUGGCUAUGCAGUAUAAAGUUCGUAAAUUAUAUUUUGUGCUCGUAAAUUAGCUUCUUAUAUCAUAACACUCAGUCACUUGCUAUAGCAGGUCAUUUUAUAUAUUCAAUGCAUACAGCAGGGGAUAAGGUCCCGAACUUUCCUAUCAUGGCAUAUUCAUUAUCAACAAAGUGCAAUUUCAGGCAAUACGGGCCUCCGAGACUUCUUAACUCGGUCUCGAUCCUCAGGGGCAUCAAUCCUCCUUGACAAUGAACUGAAUAAAGACUGAAAUAUAUAAGUUGUGAACCUUGAUAUCAAGCUCUUCAUUGCAUUGAUGCUUCUGUUCCCCCUCAACAUGUAGAUGCAAAAUGAGAGAACCAGAUUCUAACCAAACAACUCCCUUUACGUUUUCACUUCUUGCCUCGCGCUGCUCCUCCGUAACAUGCAGGAGAAAAAUAAUGGACUGAUGGGAUCUACUCCCGUCACUCCAGGCAUGAACUCAGAUCCUGCUUAGUGCACGAACGUCUCAUCAACUCAUAAGUGGAGGGCACGUCAUGCAAGGGAUGACCUUUCCAGUUUCUCUCCAUUAUCCUUCUCGCCGGGGAAACUUGCUUCCCAACUGCAGAGACGAACGCUUUGCCUUUCCCUCCAGCACCUCUCUCUGUGGCGGACAUAUUCGCUUGGAUCGCGGGGGAAGUCAAAGAGAAUAACAUGGUCCACUCCAGUAAAGUCGAUUCCUUGUAACGACUUGUCAUGGUUGAAAAAUCAUCAGGAUCUUGCAAAUACCUAAGGAAAGAUGAGAGUGACAUGUCUUAGGUAAAUUCAUGAGUGUCCCAUGACCCUGCUCUGCCUUCCGUUUGACUGCGUCACAAACAGUGCCAUUAAAAUCACUAGGCGCUGUUAAGAGACUCAGACCCCACAGUGCCUCAGGCACUAGGCUGAACAAUGAGAGGUGCCAAGUAAACAGUGGGGAUUAAAAUAUCAACAAACAAAUCAUUAGGUCUUUCAUACUUAGAAUCACAAGUUAUUCGUGGUCUGCAUCGUAGCACAAAUUGCACUGGUGCAAAGAUGUUAACCUAGACAAAUCUUUUCUGAGGCAAUGCCUCAGAGGAGGAGCACCUCAUCUCAGGUGCUUACCUCAAAUGAAGGAACCUUUCCUGAGAUGAGGUGAGUAGCAGAGGCUUUGCCUCGCUUUGCUAGAGCGCCUAGGUGAGUGUCUCAAGUGUUAGCUAACACUGAGCUUUUGCCUAUCCCAAUUAUUCACAAAACCCACAAGACAGAACAAGGCCUAUCCCAGCCAUUACUAUUUUCAUCUAAUUCUUGUUGAGACUGACUCCAUUAUUAAAUGUGCAAGCUUGGAUUGAGAACUGAAGGCCUGGGUCUAGGCAGGUUAUGCACAGUUUAACUUAAGGCCUACUUUUAGGGAUGAAGCUUGGCUGCAGAGCAGAUCUAUUUCUAGAAGCAUAGUUUGAUUGAUAUCGCACAACGCAUCUAUACAUACCUGUCGGUGCAAACCAAACACAAGGAGACAUCUUUAAAUGAAGAAGCAAACUCUUUCAUUUUUGCCUGCCGCAACUCUUGUGAAACAGCAGCAUGAUAAGGUAGAACUCGUGCAUCAGCACCUUUCUGUCAAUGCACUUCAAUGCAUUUUCAACUUUUCGACAUCUCUCAAUCUGUAUGUGGAGAAGAGGACAAAGUAAUGAUGACUCCUCCAUUCAGUGGCUUCAGAACCUUCUCUCAAACUCCAGGUCAGGAGUAAGUGAGAUGGUCGGGAGAGAGAAGGAAAUGUAAUGAUGAC